rnacentral:lncRNA from 1 species
AAGCAUCCAAGCACAUCCACACAAGCAAAUGCCAAUUGUGAAAGAGAUCAUGCCAUGGCAGCUAUAAAUAGGCCCGUAGCAUGACGAUCAUCCUUCCUCAUCCAUCAUUCUCAUAAGUAGAGCGCAUCAUUUAAGCCAAGCAAGCAGUGCUCAAUACAAAUCCACCAUGAAGACCUUUCUCAUCCUUGCCCUCCUUGCUAUUGUAGCAACCACCGCCACAAUUGCAGUUAGAGUUCCAGUGCCACAAUUGCAGCCACAAAAUCCAUCUCAGCAACAACCACAAGAGCAAGUUCCAUUGGUACAACAACAGCAAUUUCCAGGGCAGCAACAACCAUUUCCACCACAACAGCCAUAUCCGCAGCCGCAACCAUUUCCAUCACAACAACCAUAUCUGCAGCUGCAACCAUUUCCGCAGCCGCAACUACCAUAUCCGCAGCCGCAACCAUUUCGACCACAACAACCAUAUCCACAACCGCAACCACAGUAUUCGCAACCACAACAACCAAUUUCACAGCAGCAGCAGCAGCAGCAACAACAACAACAACAACAACAACAGAUCCUUCAACAAAUUUUGCAACAAUAACUGAUUCCAUGCAGGGAUGUUGUAUUGCAACAACACAGCAUAGCGCAUGGAAGCUCACAAGUUUUGCAACAAAGUACUUACCAGCUGGUGCAACAAUUGUGUUGUCAACAGCUGUGGCAGAUCCCCGAGCAGUCGCGGUGCCAAGCCAUCCACAAUGUUGUUCAUGCUAUUAUUCUGCAUCAACAACAACAACAACAACAACAACCGUUGAGCCAGGUCUGCUUCCAACAGCCUCAACAACAAUAUCCAUCAGGCCAGGGCUCCUUCCAGCCAUCUUAGCAAAACCCACAGGCCCAGGGCUCUGUCCAGCCUCAACAACUGCCCCAGUUUGAGGAAAUAAGGAACCUAGCGCUAGAGACGCUACCUGCAAUGUGCAAUGUCUAUAUCCCUCCAUAUUGCACCAUUGCUCCAGUUGGCAUCUUCGGUACUAACUGAGAAUAGAAUAACUCUAGUAGUAGAUAUAUGAUACACCGUUUUCUUAGUCCAUGGUUUGGUCGUUGUAGCGGUGAAAAAAUAAAGUGACAUGCACUAUCAUGUAAGAACCCGAACUAUACUAUUUCAAACAUGGGAAUAAAAGACAAACACAUGUCUUGUCUACAUAUGAUUGUUUGUUUGAGUUCCACUCAUGUGCCCACUCACAAGUUCACCCCUAAUUAUAUAUAUUAUGCAUUAAGUAGAUAUUUAUGUUGCAUUAAUCUAAAGAUAACAAAAUGAGUCUGAAAUUUGAAUUAAAUUGAAGUAUUUCCUUGGACUUUCAAAUGGAGUAUUAUUAAAGUAGUAAGGACUAUCCACAUCCUUGGCUUGCCCUUGAUCAAUUAUUUCCAGAGAAGCAUUCAAUUCAUCAAUCAAUUACAUUGAUUUUUGUGGCUGGUACUUCUCCUCAACAUGAGUAUAUUCAUCGCGGCUACUCCAAAUAGCCAUGAAUGAGGUACCGGUGCUCUGGAGCACUGGUACCUAACUGCUUCUCAUGUGAAGGGGUGCGGGCGCGGGAGAGGUGUUUUUGGUGGGCCAGGGGAGUAAGAAGCGGCCGUGGCAGCGGUCCAGACGCCCACAAAGCCCCGUAGUUUGUUUUUGGUUUACAGGAAAAUGCACAUCCAGACUGGCCUGCGGGCCGAUAUAGGACCGUAUUGGAUGGCAAAACAUGUCCGGAUGGUCGCGAGCGGUUUAAGGGUUAGCUUUUGUAACACCCGGUUAGUUAUGCUAUGGUAAUUCCCUGCUAAUGAUGUCACGUCAGCACGAUUACUGUUGUUAACCUCACAAUGAUUCAAUCCCAUUCAAAUUCAAAUUUAAAAUAAAGGCAAACAUCAAAAGUUUCAAACAUUAAAACUAAAAUCUUCGAGAGGUGAAAAAUAAUGCAUAAGUAAUUAUGGUGGAGAAACCACACUUUUAUAAAAUGUUUAAAUACUCUAAAAAUAAUAAAACAGUGGCUUAAACUAUUAUUUAAAUGCUUUUAAAAUAGUAAAAAUGUUCUAACUAAAUUAAUUGGGUACCAAACUUUUGGUGGCAGUGGUAUAUUUAGUAGAACUAAUUUAGAUGCUAAUAAAACAUAAAAGGAAAGACAAAACAAAUAAAAGUAAAAGGGGGCAACCCUUGGCUGGGCCUCGGCCAAGCUGGGCACUUGGCUAGCUAGGUUGGCCCAACCGCCUCCCUUAACCCCCCACUCCCCAUCGAACCCUAGACCGAUCGCCCCACUUCCCCCCCACCCCCUCGUCAGCCUCCCCACCUCUCGAUCCCAUCUGGAUCGGGGAGGGGAUCGCCUUCAUCGACCCCGUCGCGGUCGCUGGAUCGCCCGCUCGCCCAUCGCCCGCCGGCGUCGCCGGACCUCCUCCCCGUCGCAUGUCUCCGGCUCUCCUCCCCUCUCGCUCCUCUUCCCCGACCCGAUCUAGAUCGGGAAGGGCCAAUGAGCCCAACGCCCCCCUCCAUCGACGCUGUGCUCCAGCACCGCCGCCCGAAGACCUCGCCAUCGCCGGACCUCGCGUCGCCUCCUCGUAUCCCUCCCCGACUCGCCUCCUCAAGCCACGCCGACCCCCUCUCGGCAACGCCGUGAGCCGCACCCGUUUCCCUCCUUCUCUUUCCACCGUGUUCACCGCGCCGCCUGCCGUGCCCCUCGCCGCGCGCACGCCCACCACCGCGCCAGCCCCCGCUCCCGCCCUCUCCUGCACGCUUGUGCGCGCAUGACCCUAGCCGCGCCCACGCCGUGAUCCCCUUGUCCCGCCCGCCUUCGUCCCGCGCUCGCCGCGGCCCCCAUGCUCCCCUGCGCCCUCUUUUGGGGCCGUCGGCUGCCCCUGUCCCGCAGCUCGCUGGCAUGCGUCCCCGCCUGCGCCUCGCCACCGCUCUACUGCUACGCUACUAUUGCGCUGUGGCCGCCGCCGCUUCCCGCUGCUCUGCCAGCGCCAAAGCUCCUGGUUGGCCCUGCCGCUGCUCGCGUUUAACCGCCGGCCUAAGCGGCCUAACCUCCCCCCUCGCUAAUGAACCCCCACCGACCCGCUGACACCGGGACCCACAUCCCCUAAUUAACCAUUUAAUAAAUUAAAACUCUUAAAUUAACAUUAGUGUAUGACAUGUGGGUCCCCUAUUAAUUAAACUGAUUUAAUUAAAAUCUAUUAACUUUGAGUCUAUGACAUAUGGGCCCCACUAAACAUUUGACCAAUCAACGGUCCAGUCAAAUGCUGACCGGACAGUUGACCAGAGGGCCCCGCCAGUCAGCCAAUGUGCUGUUCUGCUGGGUACCUUUCUAAGUACACCUAGCAUUUUGCAUUUACAAUAUUUGUUUUAAAAUAAAUUAGAAUAAUUUCAAAAAAAUAUUAAAACUUUUAAAAUUAAAAUAAAAUAAUCCGUAACUCGGAUGAAAUUACUUUAUACAUGGAAGUUGCUCAAAAAAUGAGACGAAUCCGAAUACACAGUCCGUUCGUCUGCCACGCGUCCCUAGCAUAGCGAACAUGCAACCAUCCCCCUCCGGUUCGACUGUCCGAAAAAUUAUUAUUGCACAUGCCCGCUAAGAGGUUGGCUGUAUAUGACAUGACAACUUCUUAUAGCCGAGCCUUGGCUGUAUUAUUAACCAUGCUCUUAGUGAGGUAGCUAGUAUAUCAUAGACGACUAGCUAGUAUCAGACUAGCCAAAGUGGGAGUAACUUCAGCAGUAACAUCGACUCCAACUCAGCAAACUUCCUUAUGUGGGAGUAAACCGUGCCCAAUGCAAAAUACAAUCCCAGUCGUAAUUUUUUCAGGAAACGUGUGGGAUCCCAAACGAAAAGCACACGUCACUCUUGCGGCAACCGUCGGUGACACCCAAUAAAUCACAAACGGUCUGCAGCAGCUGUAUGUGUGCAAAGGGGCUCCUGAACCGUUUGUGAUAGAACAUUAUCGCAGACGGUAAUUGUUGGCAAACGUGUGCGAUGGAGUCUAGCAUGGCAGACGGGUUACGCAGAAAACUCGUGUGUGAUGGGGCACAAAUCGCACACAGUUCAUAUGUUGGUCCAUGUGCCUUACAUACUAUUUCCCAAAUGGUUUGUUACGACAGACCGUAUCGUUUCAGUGCGUCAUUAGAAACGCUUAAUCACUGAUACCACACGUGCGAAAGAAAUUAGUGCGUGAUGCAUCGCACACGAUUACAUUUUGGAAGGCCUCUGGAUCACUGCUCCAUAUCCCCGACGGUUUCUGGGCCGUGUGGGAAGGACACCCUAUCGCACACACUCACUUGGCGAUGGUUCCAAAUGCUGUCGCAGAAAAGGGUUAAAAACAGUUUGUUUAGGACCGACGCGUACCAGUGUCUAUCUAUCUAUCUAUCUAUCUAUCUAUGUAUCUAUCUAUCUAUCCAUCUAUCUAUCUAUCUAUCUAUCUAUCUAUCUAUCUAUCUAUCUAUCUAUCUCAAUCCACCUAUCUAUCUAUCCAUCUAUCUAUCUCUCCAUCUAUCCAUCUAUCUAUCCAUCUAUCCAUCCAUCUACUAUCCAUCUAUCUAUCCAUCCAUCCAUCUAUCUAUCCAUCCAUCCAUCUAUCUAUCUAUNNNNNNNNNNNNNNNNNNNNNNNNNNNNNNNNNNNNNNNNNNNNNNNNNNNNNNNNNNNNNNNNNNNNNNNNNNNNNNNNNNNNNNNNNNNNNNNNNNNNNNNNNNNNNNNNNNNNNNNNNNNNNNNNNNNNNNNNNNNNNNNNNNNNNNNNNNNNNNNNNNNNNNNNNNNNNNNNNNNNNNNNNNNNNNNNNNNNNNNNNNNNNNNNNNNNNNNNNNNNNNNNNNNNNNNNNNNNNNNNNNNNNNNNNNNNNNNUCUAUGUAUCCAUUUAUCCAUUGAUCCAUCUAUCGAUCCAUCCAUCCAUCCAUCUAUCCAUCAAUCUAUCUAUCCAUGUAUCCAUGUAUCCAUCUAUCCAUCUAUCGAUCUAUCCAUCCAUCUAUCUAUCUAUCUAUCCAUCUAUCCAUCUAUCGAUCUAUCCAUCUAUCUAUCUAUCCAUCCAUCUAUCGAUCUAUCGGUCUAUCCAUCUAUCGAUCUAUCCAUCUCUCCAUCUACCCAACUAUCCAUCUAUCCAUCUAUUCAUCUACCGAUCUAUCUAUCCAUCUAUCUAUCUAGCUAUCUAGCUAUCUAGCUAUCUAUCUAUCUAUCUAUCUAGCUAUCUAGCUAUCUAUCUAUCUAGUUAUCUAGCUAUCUAUCUAUCUACCUACCUACCUACCUACCUACCUACCUAUCUAUCUAUCUAUCUAUCUAUCUAUCUAUCUAUCUAUCUAUCUAUCUAUCUAUCUAUCUAUCUAUCUAUCUAUCUAAAGGAAAUAUGCCCUAGAUGCAAUAAUAAAGUUGUCAUUUAUAGUUCGUUAUAUCAUGAUAAACUAGCGGAGUCACCCGCGCAUUUGCGCGGCUAGAUUGACUACAUAUAUUGUUAUAUUUGGGAUUAUUUUUCUAUGCCAAUUUUAUGGCCUCUUACUCAGAUAUUAUCUAAUUGAAUUUACCACCACCAUAUGUUAUAUCCAUAGAUUAUAAUGAAAAGGCAACUUCCGACGAAACAUGGACAGAUUAUUGAGUGCUCAGAAGACGGACGCAAUAUCAUAUAUAGACUUCUAUACCAAUCUUCAUGGUUCCCAUCUUUGAUCCUCUCCUCGUCCCUUGGUAUCUAUCUUUGCACCCAAUAUGUCUUUGGAGUUCCAAGAAUUGAAUCUUAGCAUGAAUGGCUUCAAUGUGUACCAAAUGUUCUCUUGUUCCUCCCAAAUUAAUUACUGGUUGCAUUCUUAGUUGCUUUGACAUUCUUGGUUAAUGCAAUUUCUUGCCUACCAAUAUAUGCAUCCACACACGAUCAUAUUUAUAUGACCACUUACCUCUGUAUUCUGGUAUUUGUGCUUCAGAAUUUUUCUCUCAUUCAGUUUAUUCAUAGAUUAAAAACGUCGAUCGUUUCUUUAUUGGUUUGCAUUAUCUUGUUUGCCGAACGUAAGCAUCCACACAUGCUCGUCAUGAUAUGAUUGGUCAUCAUUGUAUAUUUGUAUUUGUGUGUUGAUAGCUUAAGGAUUUUCUCGGAUUCACUUCAUAGUUUAAGGAUUUUCUCGCGUUCAAUUUAUUCUACCUUAUUCAUUUUCAUGUUUCUUUAUUGCAUUUAUAUCAAUUCUUACAAUAUAUUUUCCAAGAUAUGAACUCAACUACUAAUUACGUAGUUUUUCAUCAAAAAUUACAUGUAAAAAUGUUACAAAUGCAUAAACAUGAUAAAAAUAUAUAUCAUAUUCCAUUGAGAGAUCGCCCAUUUAAAAAAAACACGUUGACUUACAAAAAGGACAAUUCAAGCUGCAUGUACGUCCGACUCAUGUUUACCUGACAAUGUCGAUGUUGAUUUCAGCAGUAAAUGAGCUGUGUGUGACCUUUGCGCUUUCCGGUAUUCUUCUAACCUGUGUGCUUUAUGAUCAGUUUGUUGUGCUUAGUACUGGACACUUGAGUAUACUAUCAUAUUUGGUACAAAUAAAUCUGAACUACUAUAGUUAUGAUCCACUGUAUAGUUAAUGGUGGUGGUAAUUAAUAUAUGUGGUUAAAUACUUGCGCUCCUUAGGUGGGGAGUUGGAUUUGUAUUUCCCUAAAAUAAAUUUCAGAUUUCGUAAUAGUGGUGAAGCCAGCCGGAAGAACCUCUGCGUCAUUAUUAAUUUUGGUGAUAUUUUUCUUCAUAGUGUAGAAUAAUUUUAGUGCUUAUUCCGCAAAAAAUAUGGCCUCAACUGACCCCAUAGCUUGUAUGUUGCGCCACCACUGUUUCCUAUAUCCUAUUACAUCCGUUGUUUUUAGAUCUUGAUGCAUAACUUUGACAAUAUUUAAUAGAUAUGUGUCUGUAUAAAAAAUUAUAAAUGCUAUGAUAAUUUGAUUAAUUAUGAUGAAUAAAAUGUUAUUGCUCUGACUUGAUCCCUCUAGAAUUUUCCAAAAUUUCACAUUACAGUUGUAGUAGUGCAUGCUACCUCUUGAGCACUGCGUUAGUUUUCCCUUGAAGAGGAAAGGGUGAUGCAGUAAAGUAGCGUCAGUAUUUCCCUCGGUUUUUGAGAACCAAGGUAUCAAUCCAGUAGGAGGCCACGCAUGAGUCCCUCGCACCUACACAAACAAAUAAAAUCCUCGCAACCAACGCAAUAAAGGGGUUGUCAAUCCCUUCACGGUCACUUACGAAAGUGAGAUCUGAUAGAUUUGAUAAGAUAAUAUUUUUGGUAUUUUUAUGAUAAAGAUGCAACGUAAAGAAAGCAAAAUAAAAAAAGCGCCAGAAAUAGCUUGUUGACGGGAGAUUAAAAUAGACCGGGGGGCCAUAGGUUUCACUAGUGGCUUCUCUCGAGAGCAUAAGUAUUUUGGUGGGUAGACAAAUUACUGUUGAGCAAUUGACAGAAUUGAGCAUAGUUAUGGGAAUAUCAAGGUAUGAUCAUGUAUAUAGGCAUCACGUCCGAGGCAAGUAGCCCGACUCCUGCCUGCAUCUACUACUAUUACUCCACACAUCGACUGCUAUCCAGCAUGCAUCUAGAGUAUUAAUUUCAAAAGAACAGAGUAACGCUUUAAGUAAGAUGACAUGAUGUAGAGGGAUAAACUCAUGCAGUAUGAUAUAAACCCCAUCUUGUUAUCCUCGAUGGCAACAAUACAAUACGUGCCUUGCUGCCCCUACUGUCACUGGGAAAGGACACCGCAAGAUUGAACCCAAGCUAAGCACUUCUCCCAUCGCAAGAAAGAUCAAUCUAGUAGGCCAAACCAAACUGAUAAUUCGAAGAGACUUGCAAAGAUAACCAAUCAUACAUAAAAGAAUUCAGACAAGAUUCAAAUAUUGUUCAUAGAUAAACUUGAUCAUAAACCCACAAUUCAUCGGUCUCAACAAACACACCGCAAAAGAAGAUUACAUCGAAUAGAUCUCCACAAGAGAGGCGGAGAACAUUGUAUUGAGAUCCAAAAAGAGAGAGGAAGCCAUCUAGCUAAUAACUAUGGACCCGAAGGUCUGAGGUAAACUACUCACACAUCAUCGGAGAGGCUAUGGUGUUGAUGUAGAAGCCCUCCAUGAUCGAUGCCCCCUCCGGCGGAGCUCCGGAAAAGGCCCCAAGAUGGGAUCUCACGGGUACAGAAGGUUGCGGCGAUGGAAUUAGGUUUUUGGCUCCGUAUCUGGUAGUUUGGGGGUACGUAGGUAUAUAUAGGAGGAAGAAGUACGUCGGUGGAGCAACGUGGGCCCCACGAGGGCGCGCCCCCCUACCUCGUGCCUUCCUGGUAGAUUUCUUGACGUAGGGAACAAGUCCUCUAGAUAACGUUCGUUCCCAAAAUCACGUUUCCGAAGGUUUCAUUCCGUUUGGACUCGGUUUGAUAUUCUUUUUCUGUGAAACUCUGAACUAGGCAAAAAACAGCAAUUCUGGGGUGGGCCUCCGAUUAAUAGGUUAGUCCCAAAAAUAAUAUAAAAGUGUAUAAUAAAGCCCAUUAAUGUCUAAAACAGAAUAUAAUAUAGCAUGGAACAAUAAAAAAUUAUAUAUACGUUGGAGACGUAUCAAGCAUCCCCAAGCUUAAUUCUUGCUCGUCCUCGAGUAGGUAAAUGAUAAAAACAGAAUUUUUAAUGUGGAAUGCUACUUGGCAUAAUUUCAAUGUAAUUCUCUUAAUUGUGGUAUGAAUAUUCAGACCCGAAAGAUUCAAGACAAAAGUUUAAUAUUGACAUAAAAAUAAUAAUACUUCAAGCAUACUAACUAAGCAAUUAUGUCUUCUCAAAAUAACAUGGCCAAAGAAAGUUAUCCCUACAAAAUCAUAUAGUCUAGCUAUGCUCUAUCUUCACCACACAAAGUAUUUAAAUUAUGCACAACCCGGAUGACAAGCCAAGCAAUUGUUUCAUACUUUUGAUGUUCUCAAACUUUUUCAAUCUUCACGCAAUACAUGAGCAUGAGCCAUGGACAUAGCACUAUAUGUGGAAUAGAAUGGUGGUUGUGGAGAAGACAAAAAAGGAGAAGAUAGUCUCACAUCAACUAGGCGUAUCAACGGGCUAUGGAGAUGCCCAUUAAUAGAUAUCAAUGUGAGUGAGUAGGAAUUGCCAUGCAACGGAUGCACUAGAGCUAUAAGUAUAUGAAAGCUCAACAAAAGGAACUAAGUGGGUGUGCAUCCAACUCGCUUGCUCAUGAAGACCUAGGGCAUUUUGAGGAAGCCCAUCAUUGGAAUAUACAAGCCAAGUUCUAUAAUGAAAAUUUGCCACUAGUACAUGAAAGUGAUAUCAUAGGAGACUCUCUAUCAUGAAGAUCAUGGUGCUACUUUGAAGAACAAGUGUGGUAAAAGGAUAGUAACAUUGUCCCUUCUCUCUUUUUCUCUCAUUUUUUUAUUUGGGUCUUUUAUCCUUUUUUAUGGCCUCUUUUUUUUAGUCCGAAGUCUCAUCCCGACUUGUUGGGGAAUCAUAGUCUCCAUCAUCCUUUCCUCACUUGGGACAAUGCUCUAAAAAAUGAUGAUCAUCACACUUUUAUUUACUUACAACUCAACAAUUACAACUCAAUACUUAGAACAAAAUAUGACUCCAUGUGAAUGCCUCCGGCGGUAUACCGUGAUAUGCAAUGAAUCAAGAGUGACAUGUAUGAAAGAAUUAUGAACGGUGGCUUUGCCACGAAUACAAUGUCAACUACAUGAUCAUGGAAAGCAAUAUGACAAUGAUGGAGUGUGUCAUAAUAAACUGAACGGUGGUAAGUUGCAUGGCAAUAUAUCUCGGAAUGGCUAUGGAAAUCCUAUGGUAGGUAGGUAUGGUGGCUGUUUUGAGGAAGGUAUAUGGUGGGUGUAUGAUACCGGCGAAAAGUGCGCGGUAUUAGAGAGGCUAGCAAUGGUGGAAGGAAGAAAGUGCGUAUAAUCCAUGGACUCAACAUUAGCCAUAAAGAACUCAUAUACUUAUUGCAAAAAUCUACAAGUUAUCGAAGCAAAGUAUUACCCGCAUCAUCCUAGGGGGAUAGAUUGGUAUGAAAAGACCAUCGCUCAUCCCAGACCGCCACUCAUAAGGAAGACAAUCAAUAAAUAAAUCAUGCUCCGACUUCAUCACAUAACGGUUCACCAUACGCGCAUGCUAAGGGAAUCACAAACUUUAACACAAAUAUUUCGCAAAUUCAAAACUACUCAACUAGCAUGACUCUAAUAUCACCAUCUCCAUAUCUCAAAACAAUUAUCAAGUAUCAAACUUCUCAUAGUAUUCAACACACUCAUAAGAUUUUUUUACUAAUCUUGAGUGCCUAUCAUAAUUAAAGCAAAUUACCACGCUGUUUUGUAGGACUAUCAAAAUAAUCUAAGUGAAUCAUGAGAGAACAAUAGUUUCUAUAAAACAAAACCACCACCGUGCUCUAAAAGACAUACGUGAAGCACUAGAGCAAAAACUAUAUAGCUCAAAAGAUAUAAGUGAAGCACAUAGAGUAUUCUAACAAUUUCCGAAUCAUGUGUGUCUCUCUCAAAAGGUGUGUACUGCAAGGAUUAUUGUGGCAAACUAACAAAUAAAUACUUCAAAUAAUACAAGACGCUCCAAGAAAAACACAUAUCAUGUGGUGAAUAAAAAUAUAGCUCCAAGUAAAGUUACCGAUGGAAGUAGACGAAAGAGGGGAUGCCUUCCGGGGCAUCCCCAAGCUUUGGCUUUUAGGUGUCCUUAGAUUAACUUGGGGUGCCAUGGGCAUCCCCAAGCUUAGGCUCUUGCCACUCCUUGUUUCAUAAUCCAUCAAAUCUUUCACCCAAAACUUGAAAACUUCACAACACAAAACUCAGCAGAAAAUCUCGUGAGCUCCGUUAGCAAAAGAAAACAAAACACCACUUCAAGGUACUGUAAUGAACUCAUUCUUUAUUUAUAUUGGUGUUAAACCUACUGUAUUCCAACUUCUCUAUGGUUUAUAAACUAUUUUACUAGCCAUAGAUUCAUCAAAAUAAGCAAACAACACACGAAAAACAUAAUCUGUCAAAAACAGAACAGUCUGUAGUAAUCUGUAACUAACGCAAUUUUCUGGGACACCAAAAAUUGACCCAAAAUAGGAAGACCUAGACAAUUUUUUUAUUGAUCAGCAGCAAUUGGGAUCAAUAUUUUAUCACGUCCUGGUGAUUUUUAACAAUUAUUUUCGUGAACAGAAAGUUUCUAGAAUUUUCAGCAAGAUCAAAUAACUAUCAUCCAAGAAGAUCCUAUAGGUUAAACUUGGCACAAACACUAAUUAAAACAUAAAAACACAUGUAACCAGAGGCUAGAUCAAAUAUUUAUUCCUAAACAAAAGAAAAAAUCAUAAAAAACUAAAAAUAAAAUUGGGUUGCCUCCCAACAAGCGCUAUCGUUUAAUGCCCCUAGCUAGGCAUAAUAGCAAUGAUAGAUCUAGGUAUUGCCAUCUUUGGUAGGCAAUCCAUAAGUGGCUCUCAUAAUAGAUUCAUAAGGUAAUUUUAUUUUCUUUCUAGGGAAGUGUUCCAUGCCUUUCCUUAAUGGAAAUUGGAAUCUAAUAUUCCCUUCCUUCGUAUCAAUAAUUGCACCAAUCGUUCUAAGGAACGGUCUACCAAGAAUAAUAGGACAUGAAGGAUUGCAAUCUAUAUCAAGAACAAUAAAAUCUACUGGCACAUAAUUCCUAUUUGCAACAAUAAGAACAUCAUCAAUUCUUCCCAUAGGUUUCUUAAUGGUGGAAUCCGCAAGGUGCAAGUUUAAAGAGCAAUCAUCAAAAUCACGGAAACCUAGCAAAUCGCAUAGAAUCUUUGGAAUCGUGGAAACACUAGCACCCAAAUCACACAAAGCAUAGCAUUCAUGAUCUUUAAUUUUAAUUUUAAUAGUAGGUUCCCACUCAUCAUAAAGUUUUCUAGGGAUAGAAACUUCCAACUCAAGUUUUUCUUCAUAAGAUUGCAUCAAAGCAUCAACGAUAUGUUUAGUAAGGCUUUAUUUUGACUAUAAGCAUGUGGAGAAUUUAGCACGGAUUGCAACAAGGAAAUACAAUCUAUCAAAGAGCAAUUAUCAUAAUUAAAUUCCUUGAAAUCCAAAAUAGUGGGUUCAUUAAUAUCUAGAGUUUUGAUUUCUUCAAUCCCACUUUUACCAUUUUUUGCAUCAAGAUCUAAAAACUCCGAAUUUUUGGAACGCCUUCUAGGUAGAGGUGGAUUAUAUUCAGUCCCAUCAUUAUCAAGAUUCAUAUUGCAAAACAAAGAUUUAAUAGGGGACACAUCAAUAACUUUUAGAUCUUCAUCUUUAUUUUCAUAGAAACUAGAAGAACACGCUUUCACAAAACAAUCUUUCUUAGCACGCAUCCUAGCGGUUCUUUCUUUGCACUCAUCAAUGGAAAUUCUCAUGGCCUUGAGAGACUCAUUGAUAUCAUGCUUAGGAGAAAUUCUAUCAGCGUUCCUAGCCAAUUCAUCAACUUUAAGCAAUUUUUCUUCAAGCAAAGCAUUGAAAUUGUUUUGCGAAUUCAUAAAUUCUUUAACACUAGUCUCAAAUUCAGAAGGCAUCUUAUUAAAAUUUCCAUAAUAAUUGUUGUAGGAAUUACCAUAAUUAUUAGAGGAAUUACUAGGAUACGGCCUUGGAUUAAAGUUUCCUCUAUACGCGUUGUUACCAAAAUUAUUCCGACCAACAAAAUUCACAUCCAUAGAUUCAUUAUUAUUCUCAAUCAAAGUAGACAAAGGCAUAUCAUUAGGAUCAGAAGAAACACUUUUAUUAGCAAAUAAUUUCAUAAGUUCAUCCAUCUUUCCACUCAAAACAUUAAUUUCUUCUAUCAUGCACUUUUUAUUAGUGGUUUUUUCGGUGUGCCAUUGAGAAUAAUUAACCAUAAUAUUAUCUAGGAGUUUAGUAGCUUCUCCUAAAGUGAUUUCCAUAAAAGUGCCUCCCGCGGCCGAAUCUAAAAGAUUUCUAGAAGAAAAAUUCAAUCCGGCAUAAAUUUUUUGUAUAAUCAUCCACAAAUUCAAACCAUGAAUAGGGCAAUUACGUAUCAUUAAUUUCAUCCUCUCGCAAGCUUGUGCAACAUGUUCAUGAUCAAGUUGCUUAAAAUUCAUAAUAUCGUUUCUAAGAGAGAUGAUCUUAGCGGGAGGAAAAUACUUAGAGAUAAAAGCAUCUUUGCACUUAUUUCAAGAAUCACUACUAUUUUUAGGCAAAGACAAAAACCAAGCUUUAGCACGAUCUCUAAGCGAAAAAGGAAAUAGCUUCAAUUUAACAAUAUCAUUGUCCACAUCUUUCUUCUUUUGCAUAUCACACAAAUCAACGAAGUUGCCAUGUCUAGGAAUGCUUGAAGCUUCAAAGAUUUCCUAUAAUACAACAUGCCUCUAACUAUUCACAAUAAGAAAAACAUGUAAAUGCGGAAUCAACCAAAUGUUGGUAAAUUGUAGUUGAUUUUGGCCAAGCAAACGUCAGAUGAAAGAAACAUACAUGAGUGAACAUCACGAUUGGAUGUUUUAUUCAAAUUUAACAGGUUAAACUCACCAAAUCCAUCUGGAUAUUUAGUAUUAAACUUCAACAGAUGGUGAGUUGUAGCUAGAUUCACAACACUGAAGCAAAAUUCCAUCUGCCACGGUUACAUCACACCAUCUUUUCAUCGUUACUAUUUAAAUUCCAAAUGCCUGCAACUCAUUUUUUUGUUACGAUGUAUGCAUGAUUUUUAACUCAAGAGGAAGAGGGGAAACUAAAUCCAAGAAAAGAACACCAAGGAAGCAUCCAAAAUAGAGAAAGGAAAAAUCCAAAAUAGAGGCAGAAUCGAAGGGAAGAAACCCCAUAAAAAAUAGGAGAUCAAACGGUGAAAAAAAUCUAAGAGUCAAACAAUUCCAGGUAAGACCAAAUCGACGACAAAAUAGCACAAGAGGGACUCACAUUAACAGGUAUACCAAUUCAGAAAGAAGUGUAAAGCGAACAGUGCAAUGGACCACUAGUAUAAAUUGGCUGUACACAAACAUGGGACUUAAACAGGAACUGCGAGAUGCAGGGUUCACGUGCAAACCCAAAAAACGGAAAACUGAAACGCACAACAAGAUUUUAUCUUCAUAUAUAUAUAUUAUGAGCUAUUGGCUUUUUAGUCAGGUAAAUAUCAUUCUUAAGACUACGGAAAACAGCAGGCGGCGAAGAAAACAUCUAUUGAUGAGAACUAUACACAUACUUAAGAAGGAAGUGACAUCUAUGGUAGCAGAACAUAUAUCAAGCUGUUGCAGCUACAUUAGCAGUUUAGCACAGUUCCUCCAUAAUACACAGGCUAGUGUAAUUUCACAAAUACAAUAAGCUAACAAUAUAUAUUUGGUAGAUGGAAAUGGCUGGAUCAUGACCAAUAUACCAUUACACAUCCGAUGAUGCAAAUAAACCACAAUAGAACAUGUAUUUGGCGAAACCUCCAUACUGCAAUAUCAAACAUGAAUUGAAAUUAACAAUCUAGCAAAAAAACAUGACAGAUGCAGUCUUGGUCAUUUUUCCUUUUGUGACAUCCCCUAAAAAAAGUAAAAACAAUGUUGUUCGUAUUUUACCAGAGAUACACUGAGCUGGGACAAAUUGGUCUGAAAUAAAAUAUGAUGGCUUCGGAGGAUUCGGAAGGGAAGAAAUUUGCUUUCUUCCAACAUAUAUGGUCUGCUGAACUAAACUUCGUUUCAGCGGGCUUUGCCAAAAAUCUGUAACUGCAAACAUCAACUUGUGUGCCCUUCCUACGUCAAACUUUAAACCUGAGCUCAGUGUACUUUAUGAGUGUUAAGUGUACUUUCUAAAUAGCAGAGAAACCAUAACAUCUAAGCACAACCCAGCAACUUGUACAAGCUAACAUCAAAUCUGAAAGAAGAAAUGUCGAGAACAGGUGAAGGUACCAUGAUCCACGACUGAGCAAAGUUAUCUAUUAUCCUCGGUGAAUAUCAUAAAUUAGGAUCAACUACGCUGAAGAACAAACGGGAAAGGAACCUAGAAAGAUCUUUUGCCGGUAGAAUAUAACUGAUACACUAUCCUCAUUCUCGAGAUCAAGGUCGUUUCUUGAAUUGCAGUUUCCUCACUGUAGUAUGGGGUCAUUACACUGCGAAGAACAAAGUGUCAUAUGAAUCAUUUAGAGCCCAAUCUUUUUCACUGAAACUCUUAUGAUCACAUAACGAAUUUAAACAUAAGGUUUAUUAGAUAUUUGUUGUUGUGAAUAGAUAAUAUAUUUCUGGUGUUGACAAUGUUUUGAUUAUGGAUGCACUUCAAGAUGGGUGGCACAGAUUCUGUUGUACAGGCCUCCACCUGGAAUUUCAUCACUUGUUAUUUUUGUUUUAGAAUGUCUAGGUGCAUUUUUCCUUUAAGGUGGAAACAGAUGUACUUGUAUAAGCAACAAGAAUACAAAGCGCCACUGCCAUACAUUGUGGAAGUUCAGUGCUUCUGUUUACAAAAUCUGCUUCCCAAAACAGAAGGUUUAUAAUUUUUUAUUACAAUCAAGCGGACAUGAGCUGAUGAGUACAGAUGUAGACAUGUACUGAGAGCAGCACCCUUUCAAAAGUGGAUCAUUUACAUGUUGGAUAGUUUGAUGGUCUGAAAUUAAUGGUCGUGUUUCAGAAUUGUUAUCGAAUAGUAGGGGAUAUAUAUUAACUUCUGAAAUUAGUGGCUGUUUGUCAGAACUGUUAUCGAAUAGUAGGGCACAUAUAUUAACUUCAAUAAGUGGACUAAUAUCUUUGGAUUCGCUGUGAGGAAAGAUUACCAAAACAAAACAGAAGUGAGUGCGACGACCCAGAUGAGGGCGCUCUUGAGCCUCUUCCCGACCGACCUAGAUGCAGGAGCAGAACACGGCGGAUCUAAUCAGCCAACCAAUAAAGCCGAGGAAGUAAGGGAGGAAGAAGACUGACUUGUCCUGGUCGCCCUCGUAGUUAGAACAUGGCGAACAGGAUGACGAGGAAGACGAGGACAGCGUCGAGGAUGUAGACGACGAGCCAGAGCAUGUUCAUGGGCAGGAUCAAGCAUGGGCAGGAUAAGGGCGCAGGCCCCGUUGUAGGCGGCGUGCUUGCAGGCCUGGCGGUUGGCGACGUCGGCGGGGAGCAUGAGGAUGGAGAGGACGGCGACGGUGAUGCCGAGCACGAUGACGAGCUUGAGGAAGUAGGCCUGGUUGGCAUCAUCCGGGUGCUGGUAGUUGACGAGCAGGCAGACGCUGACGAGGAGCACCAGGAUGCUGACCACCGCCGCCACGAUCACUAGCGCCACGUUAAAAAACCCAUAUCCUCGGGGCUCCGGUCCCGGUUCCGGCCCGCCGCCUCGCCCCCGUUGGUCGGUCAGAUCUCUCUGUCCCUAGAGGCGGGGGAUACAGGCUAGGGUUUGGGCGUGGGCGGGGAAUAGGCUGCUAUGGUGCCGGCAGCGGGGCGUGGAGGAGAGAAGGAUUAGGAGGAAUAAUUCACCACACUUUGAUUAACCUCUCGGCUGGGUCUUAUGUACAGAUUACAGGGCCAGCCAGGGAGAUCAUGAGGUGAUCCACUACCUGGGAUCGUGCGCCACGAUCACUACAUGCGUGCGCCACGAUCAUAUACACACACGCUACACCUAGUGUCUACGCAACUACGGUAUAGCAGUACGGUACAGUCUAACACCCCCCCCCCCCCGCAGUCGUGACGUCGUCGGCGGCGACGCAAAGACUGGACCGGAACUCAGAGAAAACAUCCGAUGGCAGGCCUUUGGUCAUGAUGUCCGCGAGUUGUUGGCGCGUGGGGAUGUGAAGAACACGGAAGUGGCCGAGGGCGACGCGCGCCCGCACGAAAUGGAUGUCCAGCUCCACAUGCUUAGUGCGGCGAUGAUGCAUCGGAUUGGCUGACAGGUAGACUGCGGACACAUUGUCACAGUACACCAGUGCUGCCUUGGUCACUGGAGCGGAGAGCUCGCCGAGAAGCUGGCGGAGCCAGAUGCAUUCAGCGACCGCGUUGGCGACGCCGCGGUAUUCAGCUUCGGCGCUGGAGCGCGAUACGGUCGCCUGGCGCUUGGAGGACCAGGAGACGAGAGCAUCGCCGAGGAAGACGCAGAAGCUCGACGUGGAGCGUCGGGUGUCGGGGCAGCCGGCCCAGUCCGCGUCGGUGAACGCAAGGACGUCGAGCGUGGUCGAGGCGUGAAGAUGAAGCCCGAGUGCGCAGGUGCCCUUCACGUACCGGAGCACGCGCUUGACGAGCGCGAGGUGGCAUUCGCGCGGGUCAUGCAUGUGCAAGCAGAUUUGCUGGACGGCGUAGGCGAUCUCUGGACGCGUGAUGGUGAGGUACUGCAGGGCCCCGGCGAUGCUCCGAUAGGCCGAGGGGUCGUCGACGCAGGGCCCAUCGGCUGAGAGGAGUUUGCUCUUCGUGUCGAUGAGUGUCGGGGAAGGGCGGCAGGUGUCCAUGCCGGCGCGUUCCAGGAGUUCGUCGGCAUAUUGUUGUUGCGACAGGAAGAAGCCAGCUCGGGUGCGGGUGACGCGGAUGCCGAGGAAGAAGGCGAGCGAGCCCAGGUCCUUCAUGGCGAAUUCGCCUGUGAGGCGCUGGAUGACAUGGUGAAGCACGCGUGACGAGGACGCGGUGAGCACGAUGUCGUGGAUGUAGAUGAGGAGGAACGCCAUGUCGUUGCCGUGCCGGAAGGUGAACAGCGACGAGUCCGAACGCGUAGCUGCGAAGCCAAUGGAGCGGACGAAGCCGGCGAAGCGGAGGAACCAGGCACGGGGCGCCUGCUUGAGCCCGUACAAGGACUUGGAGAGGCGGCAGACGUGCUCUGGUUUGUCGGGGUCGACGAAUCCGGCGGGCUGGAGGCAGUAGACUUCCUCCUCCAAGUUGCCGUGGAGGAAGGCGUUGGAGACGUCGAGGUGGUGCACCGGCCAGCCGCGCGACGCGGCCAUAGUGAGCACAGUGUGGAUCGUCGCUGGCUUGACGACGGGGGAGAACGUCUCGCCGUAGUCGACGCCGGCACGCUGAUGAAAGCCCCGCACGACCCAGCGUGCUUGCUAGCGGGCCAGCGCACCGUCGGCGUCGUUUUUGUGCUUGAAGAUCCACUUCCCUGUGAUCAGGUUGGCGCCGGGGGGGCGGGGCACCAGCUCCCAUGUGCGAUUGCGCACGAGCGCAUCGUACUCAGCACGCAUGGCACCGAGCCAGUUCGGGUCGUGAACAGCAGCGCGAACCGAACGCGGCACCGGCGACACCGAUGAUGAGGUAGAGGCGGUGGCCGCGUCGUAGUAGCGCGGGUUGGGGCGGAAGAUGCCGCGCUGGGCACGCAUGACCAUGGGCACAGGAGGCGCCGGUGCGCGGGGCGCCGUUGGUCGCGCGCUCGGAGACGAGCUGUCGGAGGAGCCACUGGCGGAGUUGUCGGAGGAGCCGCUGGCGGAGGCGAAGACAGGCGGACCUGGCGCGGAUGGGCACGUCGAGGACGGAGCAGAGCCGCCAUCGGAAGCGCCCGCAGCGCACCGCGAGCUAACGCGGCGCGCCCCGCUGGUUGGCGAUGAUGAGCGGGGCAGGCUGGUGAUGGAGAUCGGGCGCGCCGGCAGGACGGGUGACAUGCUGCUGUCAGGCACCGGUGGAAGCGCAGGCAGCGCAGGAGGCCGGACGGCGAGCGGGAUCUGCAGGGUAGAGGGUACGACGGGUGGCGUAGGCGACGGGGAAGAGGAUGCGAACGGGAAAACGUGGUCGUGGAAGAGAACGUGGCGAGACGUGAGGACACAGCGAGAGGUGAGGUCAAAGCAGCGAAAACCACGAUGAUCGGGAGGGUACCCGAGGAAGACGCAGGCGAUAGAACGUGGCUCGAGCUUAUGGCGGGUGGUGGCGGUGACGUUCGGAUAGAUGCGGAGUAAUUUGUGCGACGCCGAGCAGGAGUUCAUGCGGAGUGCAGGGCGCCGAGGCGCGGCAGGGCCGAUGAUUGAGCAGGUAGGUCGAGGUGUUGAGAGCCUCUGCCCAGAAGCGAGCGGGCAUGUGCGCAUGACAGAGAAGCACACGAACGCCGUCGUUGAUCGUGCGGAGAACUCGCUCGUCCUUGCCGUUCUGCUGACUGGUGUAUGGGCAGGUGAGACGGAAGUGUGUGCCGUGGCGAGCAAGCAGAGAGCGCACAGCUGCGCUGUCGAAUUCACGACCAUUGCCCGUUUGCAGUGCAAGUAUGGGUAACUGAAACUGAGUCUGAACAUAGGCAAAGAAAUCAACAAGUAUGGGAAGAACUUCAGACAUGUGUUUCAGAGGGAAAGUCCAGACAUAGUGACUGAAAUCAUCUAGUACAACUAAGUAAAACUGAUAGCCGGAUAUGCUUACAACGGGAGCGGUCCAUACAUCAAGGUGUAAAAGCUGGAAAGGAAAGAAACUAGCAGUGGUGGAUGUCUGAAACGGGAGCCAGGUGUGUUUGCCAACACGACAGGCAUGACAGACAGGCGGAUCACGGCAGAACUCCAGGGACUGAUCGGCAGCAACGGUGCGGAGUGCGGCAGCCCCUGGGUGGCCGAGACGUUGAUGCCACAGGUCGGUCGUGGCGGCGCCGGCGAAGAUGCCCGGGGAAUGGACGGAUGGCCGCACCACGGGAUAGAGAUCGCCGUCGGAGUCACAUCGGAGAAUCACUACCCUGGUUCGUAGGUCCUUGACAGAGAAACCACGAGCGUCAAAUUCAACAGAAACGGGGUAGGAACGACAAAGCUGCCGAACUGAAAGUAGGUUUUUGACGAGAGAUGGAGAGACGAGAACGUUGCGGAGAGGAAUGGGGGAAGUGCUGGUGAUCAGCGCGCCCGUGCCAACGUGGGUGAUGGGCAGGCGGUCACCACUGCCCACGAUGAUAGAUGCAGUAGUAGAGGACGGGCGAGUGGAGAGGAGAUUACCAGGGGAGGACGUCAUGUGCGCCGCGGCGCCGGAGUCGAGGUACCACUCCGGUGCGCUGCCAGAGGAGGAAGGGCUGGCCGAGGCGCUGUGGAGGGCGGCCUGGAGCGAGGCCAUGUCCCAUGGCUGGUGGGUUGCAGUCGACGAGCUGGCGCCGGGGUGCCCGUAGCCUGACAGGACGUCGGAGACGGGUGGAGUGACGCCGUAGCCGGGGAGGGUAGCGCCGUAGCCGUAUGGUGCAGCCGGCGACGGGGCGGCGAACAUGGCCUGCUGGUACGGCGUACCAGGGCGGGGGCCGAGCACUUCAGCUCCAGCCGCGCGCCAAGGCAUCGGCCAAGCCUGGACCAUGCCGGUCCAUGCGUUUGUACCGGGUGCAGGCGUGGGGUACGCUGGGGGAGGGCGGGGAGCCUGGGAGGACGGCGUGGGCGGGCCACCAAUGCCGUUGCCACGUCUGGGGCGGCGUCCGCGCCCACGCCCUUGGUUGGUGUUGCUGGGCGGGGGUGUGGGUGGUGUAGGAGAGCCGCCACGCCCGGCGACGAGAGCGUGCGCAGACUGCUGGCGAGUGGUCGACUGCUCUGCUCGGUGUUCCUCAAGCAGGACGAAGGAGCGCACCUGCAGGAACGACGGGAGCGGGACCUGCGAGGUGAUGUGAGGGAUGGCGGAGUGGAACUGCCGGUUCAGACCGCGGAGCAGGUUGAAGACCUGCCGCGAGUCGGUUACCGGCUGCCCGAGGUGGCGGAGUUGAUCCGUGAACGACUUCAUCUUGGUGCAGUACACCAUGAUCGACAUGUCGCCCUGAACGAUAGCGUGGUACUCGGCGUCGAGGUAGACAGCGCGAGCGAGGUGGUUGUCGCGGAAGAUUCCAUCGACCGCAGUCCAGACGGCCAGAGCAGUGUCGUCCGGCUGCAUGACGGCGUCGAGCAGGUCCGGCGAUAUGGUGGUGUAGAACCAGUGGACGACGACGUGAUCAGCCAUGCCCCACUCGGGAUCAUCGUGGCGGUGGAUGGCCGUGGCGCCGAACAUGCCGAUGACGGUGUCGAAGUGGCGGCGCCACUGCGUGUAGUUGCCGGCGAGAAGGUCGAGGGUGACCGGGACAUGACGACGGAUGUCCACGGUCUGCAGGAUCGCGGAGGCGACAGGUGCUGUAGCAGGAGGAGGAGGGAUGACGGGCACCGCGGGCGCGACAGGUGCUGGAGCCGGCGGUGCCUUGGCCAGGGGGACAGCGUUAAGGACGCCGUCGGCGCCGUGCUGCGAGGAGCGAGGGGACACGAUGGGGUUGUCAUCCAUGGCGGCGGAAGCGGGACUGGCGACCUGCGCGAAGGGAUUGAGCAGGUCGGGGGAAUCUGGUACCAUAGAGGAGAGAAGGAUUAGGAGGAAUAAUUCACCACACUUUGAUUAAGCUCUCGGUUGGGUCUUAUGUAUAGAUUACAGGGCCAGGGAGAUCACGGGGUGAUCCACUACCUGGGAUCGUGCGCCAGGAUCACUAUAUGCGUGCGCCACGAUUAUAUACACACAUGCUACAACUAGUGUCUACGCAACUACGGUAUAGCAGUACAAUACAGUCUAACAGGGCAGCCACCGGCGGGGAGGGCGGGAUCCACGCGGGGUGGCGGGAUUUGGGCAGGCGGUGGGCUCGGGGGAGGGCGGUGGCAGCGAAGCAGCAAGGAGGGGCUGGAGGAGAUGAAACGAAAGAGGUCGCGUGACACAGCGACAGCGUUGUCCAAUCCCCGCGCUGCCGAUUUAAAAAAAAGGUAAUGAUAACUCCCGAACGUUCGGGAGUUAAGCAUGGAAACCCGAACGGGUUUAGAUGGCAAGUUUAGUUUGCGUGAGAUUAGGAAAACAUGGCAAUUUUCUGACAAAAGAAAUGAAAAAGGAUGAAGUUGCCAUCCCUAUCAACUAAAGUUGCCAUCCCCUAUGAACUAAAGUUGCCAUGUAAAAACGUUCGGGACGAAAUGCUCAAAAUCCGAACGUUCGGAAGUUACUGGAUUCAAAAAAAUCCCCUUGCUGCCAAUCGCUGGUCCGUUUCUUUUUUCGCCCAAUCGCUAGGUGAUGACGUGGCUAUCGCGGGAAGGCGCCCUUGAUGCGUAGUCGAAUGGUUUUAAUUAAUAGGAAGCGAGUGCUUACUCUAGUUACUGAAUUAUGUACACCAAAUAAAGCCAUUUACACGUAGUUAAUGACAAAAAAAGUUGAUGUUUGCUACGCAAAUGUGUAGUACAAAUUAAGAAGUGCAAGAUAAAAAAAAAUGCUGGUCCUUGAUUCGUUGUUGAUCGUCAGCAUGCCAUCAUCAAUUUGUAGUUAAUUAUCAUACAAAUUGGCUCUUUCAUAGAGUUGGAGACUAGCUCCUUUGAUCAGCACGCGCUUAAACACAAACAGCACGUAUAUGUUUUGUCUCCGGAGUUCAAUUCUUCAUCGGCCAGUAAAAAUGGCCCGACCAGGUAGAGGAAAAGGCAUGUUUGUUAGUACGCCUGGAGGAAAUGCCUUUGAUUAGGGCAUCUUCAACAGCGACCAGUAAAUUUCCUCCCGCGUUCGUCCACGGAUAGGGGAUCAGUCCGCGGAUACGAAUACAGGAAUCAUCCAUCCAACGCUGUCCGCGUAUAUUUCAAACACAUUUUUUUUAAAAAUAGGAUGAAAUUCAUGCAAACACAAUGGAUUUCAUACAAACCGGACAAAAAUGUUUACAUUUUGGACAUUUUUUUUUACUAAAAACUCUACAGCCGGCGCCGGCGAAUAUCCACUCCGGCGACAUGGAUACCCUUGACUAGUCUACUGCCGGCCGCAGCGGAUCUCCGAUGUCGUCCCCAUGUCCGGCAGCUAUGAGCCCUAGAGGUAUAUGCUUCAGCGCAAAGAGCGGCUCGCCUCCCUACCGCUCAUCGGAGUGGAACAACCAGCUGAUGCUUCUGCCGAUGGAAAGGGUCCCUACGCUACACGGAUUAGAGUUGGUUUUGGGCUGGGAACGGCGGUGGCCUGCCAGAGGGCAAGACACCGACUGUGUAUGCUGGUGUCACCUGGUGUGGCAUUCGUGGGACCCAAGCGGCAGCGCCUCCUCGAUGAUGGCGGCGAGCGCGGACGUGUUGGACACCACCUCGUCGAUGUCCGUGCAGCCCGCUUCUUUCUCUAUAGGAAGGACGCGGUUACGCUCGCGUUGACAUCGGAUGACUCGGUCACAUGCACGGGAGGGGCGGUACGACAUGGCAUCGCCAAUGGCAGCCAUGAUGCCCGCGCCACCGUGCUCCCUCCCAGUGCCGACCUGGAGCAACUUGCCACUCCUCGGCUCGUGACCGGUGGGCUUGACGGGCCACCUAGCCAUUUUUUAUGCCAGACAACUCUUCUUCCUGCUCGUCAGAUGUCAUGGAUAAAACUGUUUAAGGAGGAAAAUGAUGAGUGGACGUGUGAUGCGGUUCUUGCCCAACAUCUGACAUUGUUUAAAUAGUGAGGGGACACGAGAGGAGCCAACCGGCGUUCUGUUUAAUGCCAACCGGCUCGCGAACGAACAUGUGGCCGGAGUAAUUAUCCUGGCACACACGAGGGUUUUAUGGUGGAAGGCGGGCAGUCUGCAGGAAUGAGGCGAGGAUGUGUGCUUAGCCGGCGUGCAGCAGGCGGUGCCCUCGGCCGGCGUGCUGCUUCCAUUGCGGAGGCAGUGAAAGGUCGCGUCCGCUCUGCAGCGCAUGAAUGCGGGCAGCUGGCGCAGAGCGGGAACGCGUGUGGGCGAGGGAGGAGGGGGUUUGGGCGGGUGGUCAGAAGAGGUCGUGGGUGUUGUCCGAACGCCUGCAAAGCCCCCCUCCAUGUUUGUCUCCAGUUUGCGGGAGAAAGUACGUCCGGACCGUCUCCAAUGGACCAAUACAGGCCCGCAUUGGAUGGCACAACACGUCCGGACGAUGUGGUCCGGAUGGUUGUGGACAGUUUAAUUGAGGGUCGGCGUUGGAGAUGCCUUAGAGUUUAUGAAUCCAUUGUGUUUUUCUAAUCAUAAAAAAGCACUUACAAUAAGUUAUAAGGAAAGACACGAUUAUAUGUUAGGUUCAGACUCCAGCUUUCGUUUUACAUAUGCUUUAUUCAUCCGACUGAUUCCAAUAGAGUGAGCCUAGCGUUGUUUUUCUGGAAACUCGCGGGAUAAGGAGACAUGCAUACACAUUCUUUCAAGCAAAUCACAUCCAUUUUUUUUAACUCAUUUUUCUUCUUUUAAUAAUAUAAUAGAUCAUUUAUAUUUUUUAUCUGAAACAGUUGACGUGUAAUUUAUAUUGUAAUCUGAGGAUAAUGUUUGGAUUUUACUUUCAAAUAUAUUUGAAAUGGCCAUGAUGGAAUCACAUCCAUUUAUUUUAUUAUUAUUUGAAUUUGAUCCAAAAGAUAAAUAAUGAGUAGAGGUCAUGUCAACUUUUCUGAGAACUUUGCUAAUCAAAAUAUAAAUUGUAUUUAAAAACAUCUAUUUUUUAGCACGCAUGAAAAACAUAACACGUAUCUUUUCACACAUAAUGAACGGUUGUCAUAAGAACUCAUGCCAUGCCACAACCUCCCUCCGACCCUGCCAACAUUGUUGCAGCUGCACUCGCAAGCCUUAGCGUAGAUGAUAAUUUAUACAAUUUGCGUAAAAACAAAAUAAGAUCUACAAAUGAAUAGAAGCUAGAACGUACAUUGGCAUGCACACACAUUGCAAGCCAUACUAAGCUGAUAAGUGUUAAUAACUUGUAUAACAUAUACAACACUUAACACAAGUAAAAGCAAUUUGAUGAGUCAUGGUCUAUCAAAGCCACAUUACUAGUCUAAUCCAUCUUAACAGGUCACACAUGAUUAAAAUCUUGUUUGUGUGCAAGUCAAGCUUAUCUAGUUUACAUGUAACAACUUGUAGAACAUUACAAAAUUUAUGUUUGCUAAUAACUUCUAGAACACUACAACACUUGACAUGUAAAAGGAAUUUGAUGAGUCAUGGCCUACUAAAGCAAGUUAUAUUACUAGUCUUAUCUACCUUAACAGGCCACACAAGAUUACAAACCAAGUUCUGUGCCAGCCAUGCUUAUCUAGUUUAUGCGUAACAAUUUGCAGAAAAUUACAAACUUAGUUUCAGAAAAAUAGGCAAUCUAGAUUAGUGUUUGAGCUGUAAAGUGAAUAAAAUGAGUCAUGCGUGUUAUCACACCUUUUUGGUUGUGGAAUGAUAGUGCAACAACAAGGAACUUUAAUGACCAGUUCAAGAAUACACUUGUAAGUAGUGCCACCGAACACAACAUACCAAAUUAUGAUUUUGAGAAGCAUCCAAGCACUUCCACACAAGCAAAUGCCAAUUGUGAAAGAGAUCAUGCCAUGGCAGCUAUAAAUAGGCCCGUAGCAUGACGAUCAUCCUUCCUCAUCCAUCAUUCUCAUAAGUAGAGCGCAUCAUUUAAGCCAAGCAAGCAGUGCUCAAUACAAAUCCACCAUGAAGACCUUUCUCAUCCUUGCACUCCUUGCUAUUGUAGCAACCACCGCCACAAUUGCAGUUAGAGUUCCAGUGCCACAAUUGCAGCCACAAAAUCCAUCUCAGCAACAACCACAAGAGCAAGUUCCAUUGGUACAACAACAACAAUUUCCAGGGCAGCAACAACCAUUUCCACCACAACAGCCAUAUCCGCAGCCGCAACCAUUUCCAUCACAACAACCAUAUCUGCAGCUGCAGCCAUUUCCGCAGCCGCAACUACCAUAUCCGCAGCCGCAUCUACCAUAUCCGCAGCCGCAACCAUUUCGACCACAACAACCAUAUCCACAACCGCAACCACAGUAUUCGCAACCACAACAACCAAUUUCGCAGCAGCAGCAACAACAACAACAACAACAACAACAACAGAUCCUUCAACAAAUUUUGCAACAACAACUGAUUCCAUGCAGGGAUGUUGUAUUGCAACAACACAGCAUAGCGCAUGGAAGCUCACAAGUUUUGCAACAAAGUACUUACCAGCUGGUGCAACAAUUGUGUUGUCAGCAGCUGUGGCAGAUCCCCGAGCAGUCGCGGUGCCAAGCCAUCCACAAUGUUGUUCAUGCUAUUAUUCUGCAUCAACAACAACAACAACAACAACAACAACAACAACAACAACCGUUGAGCCAGGUCUCCUUCCAACAGCCUCAACAACAAUAUCCAUCAGGCCAGGGCUCCUUCCAGCCAUCUCAGCAAAACCCACAGGCCCAGGGCUCUGUCCAGCCUCAACAACUGCCCCAGUUUGAGGAAAUAAGGAACCUAGCGCUAGAGACGCUACCUGCAAUGUGCAAUGUCUAUAUCCCUCCAUAUUGCACCAUUGCUCCAGUUGGCUUCUUCGGUACUAACUGAGAAGAGAAGAACUCUAGUAGUAGACAUAUGAUACACCGUUUUCUUAGUCCAUGGUUUGGUCGUUGUAGCGGUGAAAAAAUAAAGUGACAUGCAGUAUCAUGUAAGAACCCGAACUAUACUAGUUCAAACAUGGGAAUAAAAGACAAACACAUGUCUUGUCUACAUAUGAUUGUUUGUUUGAGUUCCACUCAUGUGCCCACUCACAAGUUCACCCCUAAUUAUAUAUAUUAUGCAUUAAGUAGAUAUUUAUGUUGCAUUAAUCUAAAGAUAACAAAAUGAGUCUGAAAUUUGACUUAAAUUGAAGUAUUUCCUUGGACGUUCAAAUGGAGUAUUAUUAAAGUAGUAAGGACUAUCCACAUCCUUGGCUUGCCCUUGAUCAAUUAUUUCCAGAGAAGCAUUCAAUUCAUCAAUCAAUUACAUUGAUUUUUGUGGCUGGUACUUCUCCUCAACAUGAGUAUAUUCAUCGCGGCUACUCCAAAUAGGCAUGAAUGAGGUACCGGUGCUCUGGAGCACUGGUACCUAACUGCUUCUCAUGUGAAGGGGUGCGGGCGCGGGAGAGGUGUUUUUGGUGGGCCAGGGGAGUAAGAAUCGGCCGUGGCAGCGGUCCAGACGCCCACAAAGCCCCGUAGUUUGUUUUUGGUUUACAGGAAAAUGCACAUCCAGACCGGCCUGCGGGCCGAUAUAGGACCGUAUUGGAUGGCAAAACAUGUCCGGAUGGUCGCGAGCGGUUUAAGGGUUAGCUUUUGUAACGCCUGGUUAGUUAUGCUAUGGUAAUUCCCUGCUAAUGAUGUCACGUCAGCACGAUUACUGUUGUUAACCUCACAAUGAUUCAAUCCCAUUCAAAUUCAAAUUUAAAAUAAAGGCAAAAAUCAAAAGUCUCAAACAUUAAAACUAAAAUCUUCGAGAGGUGAAAAAUAAUGCAUAAGUAAUUAUGGUGGAGCAACCACACUUUUAUAAAAUGUUUAAAUACUCUAAAAAUAAUAAAACAGUGGCUUAAACUAUUAUUUAAAUGCUUUUAAAAUAGUAAAAAUGUUCUAACUAAAUUAAUUGGGUACCAAACUUUUGGUGGCAGUGGUAUAUUUAGUAGAACUAAUUUAGAUGCUAAUAAAACAUAAAAGGAAAGACAAAACAAAUAAAAGUAAAAGGGGGCAACCCCUCGCUGGGCCUCGGCCAAGCUGGCCACUGGGCUAGCUAGGUUGGCCCAACCGCCUCCCUUAACCCCCCACUCCCCAUCGAACCCUAGACCGAUCGCCCCACUUCCCCCACACCCCCUCGUCAGCCUCCCCACCUCUCGAUCCCAUCUGGAUCGGGGAGGGGAUCGCCCCCAUCGACCCCGUCGCGGUCGCUGGAUCGCCCGCUCGCCCAUCGCCCGCCGCCGUCGCGAGACCUCCUCCCCGUCGCACGUCUCCGACUCUCCUCCCCUCUCGCUCCUCUUCCCCGACCCGAUCUGGAUCGGGAAGGGCCAAUGAGCCAAACGCCCCCCUCCAUCGACGAUGUGCUCCAGCACCGCCGCCCGAAGACCUCGCCCUCGCCGGACCUCGCGUCGCCUCCUCGUAUCCCUCCCCGACUCGCCUCCUCAAGCCACGCCGACCCCCUUCUCGGCAACGCUGUGAGCUGCCCCCGUUUCCAUCCUUCUCUUUCCACCGUGUUCACCGCGCUGCCUGCCGUGCCCCUCGCUGCGCGCACGCCCACCACCGUGCCAGCCCCUGCUCCGAGCCCUCUCCUGCACGCUUGUGCGCGCAUGACCCUAGCCGCGCCCACGCCGUGAUCCCCUUGUCCCGCCCGCCUUCGUCCCGCGCUCGCCGCGGCCCCCAUGCUCCCAUGCGCCCUCUUUUGGGGGCGUCGGCUGCCCCUGUCCCGCAGCUCGCUGGCAUGCGUCCCCGCCCGCGCCUCGCCACCGCUCUACUGCUACGCUACUAUUGCGCUGUGGCCGCCGCCGCUUCCCGCUGCUCUGCCAGCGCCAAAGCUCCCGGUUGGCCCUGCCGCUGCUCGCGUUUAACCGCCGGCCUAAGCGGCCUAACCUCCCCCCUCGCUAAUGAACCCCCACCGACCCGCUGACACCGGGACCCACAUCCCCUAAUUAACCAUUUAAUAAAUUAAAACUCUUAAAUUAACAUUAGUGUAUGACAUGUGGGUCCCCUAUUAAUUAAACUGAUUUAAUUAAAAUCUAUUAACUUUGAGUCUAUGACAUAUGGGCCCCACUAAACAUUUGACCAGUCAACGGUCCAGUCAAAUGCUGACCGGACAGUUGACCAGAGGGCCCCGCCAGUCAGCCAAUGUGCUGUUCUGCUGGGUACCUUUCUAAGUACACCUAGCAUUUUACAUUUACAAUAUUUGUUUUAAAAUAAAUUAGAAUAAUUUCAAAAAAAUAUUAAAACUUUUAAAAUUAAAAUAAAAUAAUCCAUAACUCGGAUGAAAUUACUUUAUACAUGGAAGUUGCUCAAAAAACGAGACGAAUUCGAAUACACAGUCCGUUCGUCUGCCACGCGUCCCUAGCAUAGCGAACAUGCAACCAUCCCCCUCCGGUUCGACUCUCCGAAAAAUUAUUAUUGCACAUGCCCGCUAAGAGGUUGGCUGUAUAUGACAUGACAACUUCUUAUAGCCGACCCUUGGCUGUAAUAUUAACCAUGCUCUUAGUGAGGUAGCUAGUAUAUCAUAGACGACUAGCUAGUAUCAGACUAGCCAAAGUGGGAGUAACUUCAGCAGUAACAUCGACUCCAACUCAGCAAACUUGCUUAUGUGGGAGUAAACCCUGCCUAAUGCAAAAUACAAUCCCAGUCGUAAUUUUUUCAGGAAACGUGUGGGAUCCCAAACGAAAAGCACACGUCACUCUUGCGGCAACCGUCGGUGACACCCAAUAAAUCACAAACGGUAUGCAGCACUUGUAUGUGUGCAAAGGGGCUCCUGAACCGUUUGUGAUAGAACAUUAUCGCAGACGGUAAUUGUUGGCAAACGUGUGCGAUGGAGUCUAGCAUGGCAGACGGGUUACGCAGAAAACUCGUGUGCGAUGGGGCACAAAUCGCACACUGUUCAUAUGUUGGCCCAUGUGCCUUACAUACUAUUUCCCAAAUGGUUUGUUACGACAGACCGUAUCGUUUCAGUGCGUCAUUAGAAACGCUUAAUCACUGAUACCACACGUGCGAAAGAAUUUAGUGCGUGCUGCAUCGCACACGAUUACAUUUUGGAAGGCCUCUGGAUCACUGCUCCAUAUCCCCGACGGUUUCUGGGCCGUGUGGGAAGGACACCCUAUCACACACACUCACUUGGCGACGGCUCCAAAUGCUGUCGUGGAAAGGGGUUAAAAACAGUUUGUUUAGGACCGACGCGUACCAGUGUCUAUCUAUCUAUCUAUCUAUCUAUCCAUCUAUCUAUCUAUCUAUCUAUCUAUCUAUCUAUCAAUCUAUCUAUCCAUCUAUCCAUCUAUCCAUCUAUCCAUCUAUCCAUCUAUCUAUCUCAAUCCACCUAUCUAUCUAUCCAUCUAUCCAUCUAUCUAUCUCUCCAUCUAUCCAUCUAUCUAUCCAUCUAUCCAUCCAUCUACUAUCCAUCUAUCUAUCCAUCCAUCCAUCUAUCUAUCCAUCCAUCUAUCUAUCUAUCUAUCUAUCUAUCUAUCUAUCUAUCUAUCUAUCUAUCUAUCUGUCUGUCUAUCUAUCUAUCUAUCUGUCUGUCUGUCUAUCUAUCUAUCUAUCCAUCUAUUCAUCUAUCUAUCUAUGUAUCCAUUUAUCCAUUGAUCCAUCUAUCGAUCCAUCGAUCCAUCCAUCUAUCCAUCCAUCUAUCCAUCCAUCUAUCUAUCCAUAUAUCCAUGUAUCCAUGUAUCCAUCUAUCCAUCUAUCGAUCUAUCCAUCUAUCCAUCUAUCCAUCUAUCCAUCUAUCUAUCUAUCCAACCAUCUAUCGAUCUAUCGAUCUAUCGGUCUAUCCAUCUAUCGAUCUAUCCAUCUCUCCAUCUACCAAUCUAUCCAUCUAUUCAUUUACCGAUCUAUCUAUCCAUCUAUCUAUCUAGCUAUCUACCUAUCUAUCUAUCUAUCUAUCUAGCUAUCUAGCUAUCUAUCUAUCUAGUUAUUUAGCUAUCUAUCUGUCUACCUACCUACCUACCUAUCUAUCUAUCUAUCUAUCUAUCUAUCUAUCUAUCUAUCUAAAGGAAAUAUGCCCUAGAUGCAAUAAUAAAGUUGUCAUUUAUAUUUCCUUAUAUCAUGAUAAACUAGCGGAGUCACCCGCGCAUUUGCGCGGCUAGAUUGACUACAUAUAUUGUUAUAUUUGGGAUUAUUUUUCUAUGCCAAUUUUAUGGCCUCUUACUCAGAUAUUAUCUAAUUGAAUUUACCACCACCAUAUGUUAUAUCCAUAGAUUAUAAUUAAAAGGCAACUUCCGACGAAACAUGGACAGAUUAUUGAGUGCUUAGAAGACGGACGCAAUAUCAUAUAUAGACUUCUAUACCAAUCUUCAUGGUUCCCAUCUUUGAUCCUCUCCUCGUCCCUUGGUAUCUAUCUUUGCACCCAAUAUGUCUUUGGAGUUCCAAGAAUUGAAUCUUAGCAUGAAUGGCUUCAAUGUGUACCAAAUGUUCUCUUGUUCCUCCCAAAUUAAUUACUGGUUGCAUUCUUAGUUGCUUUGACAUUCUUGGUUAAUGCAAUGUCUUGCCUACCAAUAUAUGCAUCCACACACGAUAAUAUUUAUAUGACCACUUACCUUUGUAUUCUGGUAUUUGUGCUUCAGAAUUUUUCUCUCAUUCAGUUUAUUCAUAGAUUAAAAACGUCGAUCGUUUCUUUAUUGGUUUGCAUUAUCUUGUUUGCCGAACGUAAGCAUCCACACAUGCUCGUCAUGAUAUGAUUGGUCAUCAUUGUAUAUUUGUAUUUGUGUGUUGAUAGCUUAAGGAUUUUCUCGGAUUCACUUCAUAGUUUAAGGAUUUUCUCGCGUUCAAUUUAUUCUACCUUAUUCAUUUUCAUGUUUCUUUAUUGCAUUUAUAUCAAUUCUUACAAUAUAUUUUCCAAGAUAUGAACUCAACUGCUAAUUACGUAGUUUUUCAUCAAAAAUUACAUGUAAAAAUGUUACAAAUGCAUAAACAUGAUAAAAAUAUAUAUCAUAUUCCAUUGAGAGAUCGCCCAUUUAAAAAAAACACGUUGACUUACAAAAAGGACAAUUCAAGCUGCAUGUACGUCCGACUCAUGUUUACCUGACAAUGUCGAUGUUGAUUUCAGCAGUAAAUGAGCUGUGUGUGACCUUUGCGCUUUCCGGUAUUCUUCUAACCUGUGUGCUUUAUGAUCAGUUUGUUGUGCUUAGUACUGGACACUGGAGUAUACUAUCAUAUUUGGUACAAAUAAAUCUGAACUACUAUAGUUAUGAUCCACUCUAUAGUUAAUGGUGGUGGUAAUUAAUAUAUGUGGUUAAAUACUUGCGCUCCUUAGGUGGGGAGUUGAAUUUGUAUUUCCCUAAAAUAAAUUUCAGAUUUCGUAAUAGUGGUGAAGCCAGCCGGAAGAACCUCUGCGUCAUUAUUAAUUUUGGUGAUAUUUUUCUUCAUAGUGUAGAAUAAUUUUAGUGCUUAUUCCGCAAAAAAUAUGGCCUCAACUGACCCCAUAGCUUGUAUGUUGCGCCACCACUGUUUCCUAUAUCUUUUUACAUCCGUUGUUUUUAGAUCUUGAUGCAUAACUUUGACAAUAUUUAAUAGAUAUGUGUCUGUAUAAAAAAUUAUAAAUGCUAUGAUAAUUUGAUUAAUUAUGAUGAAUAAAAUGUUAUUGCUCUGACUUGAUCCCUCUAGAAUUUUCCAAAAUUUCACAUUACAGUUGUAGUAGUGCAUGCUACCUCUUGAGCACUGCAUUAGUUUUCCCUUGAAGAGGAAAGGGUGAUGCAGUAAAGCAGCGUCAGUAUUUCCCUCGGUUUUUGAGAACCAAGGUAUCAAUCCAGUAGGAGGCCACGCAUGAGUCCCUCGCACCUACACAAACAAAUAAAAUCCUCGCAACCAACGCAAUAAAGGGGUUGUCAAUCCCUUCACGGUCACUUACGAAAGUGAGAUCUGAUAGAUUUGAUAAGAUAAUAUUUUUGGUAUUUUUAUGAUAAAGAUGCAACGUAAAGAAAGCAAAAUAAAAAAAGCGCCAGAAAUAGCUUGUUGACGGGAGAUUAAAAUAGACCGGGGGGCCAUAGGUUUCACUAGUGGCUUCUCUCGAGAGCAUAAGUAUUUCGGUGGGUAGACAAAUUACUGUUGAGCAAGUGACAGAAUUGAGCAUAGUUAUGAGAAUAUCAAGGUAUGAUCAUGUAUAUAGGCAUCACGUCCGAGGCAAGUAGCCCGACUCCUGCCUGCAUCUACUACUAUUACUCCACACAUCGACCGCUAUCCAGCAUGCAUCUAGAGUAUUAAGUUCAAAAAACAGAGUAACGCUUUAAGUAAGAUGACAUGAUGUAGAGGGAUAAACUCAUGCAAUAUGAUAUAAACCCCAUCUUGUUAUCCUCGAUGGCAACAAUACAAUACGUGCCUUGCUGCCCCUACUGUCACUGGGAAAGGACACCGCAAGAUUGAACCCAAGCUAAGCACUUCUCCCAUCGCAAGAAAGAUCAAUCUAGUAGGCCAAACCAAACUGAUAAUUCGAAGAGACUUGCAAAGAUAACCAAUCAUACAUAAAAGAAUUCAGACAAGAUUCAAAUAUUGUUCAUAGAUAAACUUGAUCAUAAACCCACAAUUCAUCGGUCUCAACAAACACACCGCAAAAGAAGAUUACAUCGAAUAGAUCUCCACAAGAGAGGGGGAGAACAUUGUAUUGAGAUCCAAAAAGAGAGAAGAAGCCAUCUAGCUAAUAACUAUGGACCCGAAGGUCUGAGGUAAACUACUCACACAUCAUCGUAGAGGCUAUGGUGUUGAUGUAGAAGCCCUCCGUGAUCGAUGCCCCCUCCGGCGGAGCUCCGGAAAAGGCCCCAAGAUGGGAUCUCACGGGUACAGAAGGUUGCGGUGAUGGAAUUAGGUUUUUGGCUCCGUAUCUGGUAGUUUGGGGGUACGUAGGUAUGUAUAGGAGGAAGAAGUACGUCGGUGGAGCAACGUGGGCCCCACGAGGGCGCGCCCCCCUACCUCGUGCCUUCCUGGUAGAUUUCUUGACGUAGGGAACAAGUCCUCUAGAUAACGUUCGUUCCCAAAAUCACGUUUCCGAAGGUUUCAUUCCGUUUGGACUCCGUUUGAUAUUCUUUUUCUGUGAAACUCUGAACUAGGCAAAAAACAACAAUUCUGGGGUGGGCCUCCGGUUAAUAGGUUAGUCCCAAAAAUAAUAUAAAAGUGUAUAAUAAAGCCCAUUAAUGUCUAAAACAGAAUAUAAUAUAGCAUGGAACAAUAAAAAAUUAUAUAUACGUUGGAGACGUAUCAAGCAUCCCCAAGCUUAAUUCUUGCUCGUCCUCGAGUAGGUAAAUGAUAAAAACAGAAUUUUUAAUGUGGAAUGCUACUUGGCAUAAUUUCAAUGUAAUUCUCUUAAUUGUGGUAUGAAUAUUCAGACCCGAAAGAUUCAAGACAAAAGUUUAAUAUUGACAUAAAAAUAAUAAUACUUCAAGCAUACUAACUAAGCAAUUAUGUCUUCUCAAAAUAAAAUGGCCAAAGAAAGUUAUCCCUACAAAAUCAUAUAGUCUAGCUAUGCUCUAUCUUCACCACACAAAGUAUUUAAAUUAUGCACAACCCGGAUGACAAGCCAAGCAAUUGUUUCAUACUUUUGAUGUUCUCAAACUUUUUCAAUCUUCACGCAAUACAUGAGCAUGAGCCAUGGACAUAGCACUAUAUGUGGAAUAGAAUGGUGGUUGUGGAGAAGACAAAAAAGGAGAAGAUAGUCUCACAUCAACUAGGCGUAUCAACGGGCUAUGGAGAUGCCCAUUAAUAGAUAUCAAUGUGAGUGAGUAGGAAUUGCCAUGCAACGGAUGCACUAGAGCUAUAAGUAUAUGAAAGCUCAACAAAAGGAACUAAGUGGGUGUCCAUCCAACUCGCUUGCUCAUGAAGACCUAGGGCAUUUUGAGGAAGCCCAUCAUUGGAAUAUACAAGCCAAGUUCUAUAAUGAAAAUUUCCCACUAGUACAUGAAAGUGAUAUCAUAGGAGACUCUCUAUCAUGAAGAUCAUGGUGCUACUUUGAAGAACAAGUGUGGUAAAAGGAUAGUAACAUUGUCCCUUCUCUCUUUUUCUCUCUUUUUUUAUUUGGGUCUUUUAUUCUUUUUUUAUGGCCUCUUUUUUUUAGUCCGAAGUCUCAUCCCGACUUGUGGGGGAAUCAUAGUCUCCAUCAUCCUUUCCUCACUUGGGACAAUGCUCUAAAAAAAUGAUGAUCAUCACACUUUUAUUUACUUACAACUCAACAAUUACAACUCAAUACUUAGAACAAAAUAUGACUCUAUGUGAAUGCCUCCGGCGGUAUACCGUGAUAUGCAAUGAAUCAAGAGUGACAUGUAUGAAAGAAUUAUGAACGGUGGCUUUGCCACAAAUACAAUGUCAACUACAUGAUCAUGGAAAGCAAUAUGACAAUGAUGGAGUGUGUCAUAAUAAACUGAACGGUGGUAAGUUGCAUGGCAAUAUAUCUCAGAAUGGCUAUGGAAAUGCCACGGUAGGUAGGUAUGGUGGCUGUUUUGAGGAAGGUAUAUGGUGGGUGUAUGAUACCGGCGAAAAGUGCGCGGUAUUAGAGAGGCUAGCAAUGGUGGAAGGAAGAAAGUGCGUAUAAUCCAUGGACUCAACAUUAGCCAUAAAGAACUCAUAUACUUAUUGCAAAAAUCUACAAGUUAAUGAAAAUCUAGGGGGAUAGAUUGGUAGGAAAAGACCAUCGCUCGUCCCCGACCGCCACUCAUAAGGAAGACAAACAAUAAAUAAAUCAUGCUCCGACUUCAUCACAUAACGGUUCACCAUACGUGCAUGCUAAGGGAAUCACAAACUUUAACACAAGUAUUUCGCAAAUUCAAAACUACUCAACUAGCAUGACUGUAAUAUCACCAUCUCCAUAUCUCAAAACAAUUAUCAAGUAUCAAACUUCUCAUAGUAUUCAACACACUCAUAAGAUUUUUUUUACUAAUCUUGAGUGCCUAUCAUAAUUAAAGCAAAUUACCACGCUGUUUUGUAGGACUAUCAAAAUAAUCUAAGUGAAUCAUGAGAGAACAAUAGUUUCUAUAAAAAAAAACCACCACCGUGCUCUAAAAGAUAUACGUGAAGCACUAGAGCAAAAACUAUAUAGCUCAAAAGAUAUAAGUGAAGCACAUAGAGUAUUCUAACAAUUUCCGAAUCAUGUGUGUCUCUCUCAAAAGGUGUGUACUGCAAGGAUUAUUGUGGCAAACUAACAAAUAAAGACUUCAAAUAAUACAAGACGCUCCAAGAAAAACACAUAUCAUGUGGUGAAUAGAAAUAUAGCUCCAAGUAAAGUUACCGAUGGAAGUAGACGAAAGAGGGGAUGCCUUCCGGGGCAUCCCCAAGCUUUGGCUUUUAGGUGUCCUUAGAUUAUCUUGGGGUGCCAUGGGCAUCCCCAAGCUUAGGCUCUUGCCACUCCUUGUUUCAUAAUCCAUCAAAUCUUUCACCCAAAACUUGAAAACUUCACAACACAAAACUCAGCAGAAAAUCUCGUGAGCUCCGUUAGCAAAAGAAAACAAAACACCACUUCAAGGUACUGUAAUGAACUCAUUAUUUAUUUAUAUUGGUGUUAAACCUAAUGUAUUCCAACUUCUCUAUGGUUUAUAAACUAUUUUACUAGCCAUAGAUUCAUCAAAAUAAGCAAACAACACACGAAAAACAUAAUCUGUCAAACACAGAACAGUCUGUAGUAAUCUGUAACUAACGCAAUUUUCUGGGACUCCAAAAAUUGACCCAAAAUAGGAAGACCUAGACAAUUUUUUUAUUGAUCAGCAGCAAUUGGAAUCAAUAUUUUAGCACGUCCUGGUGAUUUUUAACAAUUAUUUUCAUGAACAGAAAGUUUCUGGAAUUUUCAGCAAGAUCAAAUAACUAUCAUCCUAGAAGAUCCUAUAGGUUAAACAUGGCACAAACACUAAUUAAAACAUAAAAACACAUGUAACCAGAGGCUAGAUCAAAUAUUUAUUCCUAAAAAAAAGAAAAAAGCAAAAAAACUAAAAAUAAAAUUGGGUUGCCUCCCAACAAGCGCUAUCGUUUAACGCCCCUAGCUAGGCAUAAUAGCAAGGAUAGAUCUAGGUAUUGCCAUCUUUGGUAGGCAAUCCAUAAGUGGCUCUCAUAAUAGAUUCAUAAGGUAAUUUUAUUUUCUUUCUAGGGAAGUGUUCCAUGCCUUUCCUUAAUGGAAAUUGGAAUCUAAUAUUCCCUUCCUUCAUAUCAAUAAUUGCACCAAUCGUUCUAAGGAAAGGUCUACCAAGAAUAAUAGGACAUGAAGGAUUGCAAUCUAUAUCAAGAACAAUAAAAUCUACGGGCACAUAAUUCCUAUUUGCAACAAUAAGAACAUCAUCAAUUCUUCCCAUAGGUUUCUUAAUGGUGGAAUCCGCAAGGUGCAAGUUUAAAGAGCAAUCAUCAAAAUCACGGAAACCUAGCAAAUCGCACAAAAUCUUUGGAAUCGUGGAAACACUACCACCCAAAUCACACAAAGCAUAGAAUUCAUGAUCUUUAAUUUUAAUUUUAGUAGUAGGUUCCCACUCAUCAUAAAGUUUUCUAGGGAUAGAAACUUCCAACUCAAGUUUUUCUUCAUAAGAUUGCAUCAAAGCAUCAACGAUAUGUUUAGUAAGGCUUUAUUUUGACUAUAAUCAUGUGGAGAAUUUAGCACGGAUUGCAACAAGGAAAUACAAUCUAUCAAAGAGCAAUUAUCAUAAUUAAAUUCCUUGAAAUCCAAAAUAGUGGGUUCAUUAAUAUCUAGAGUUUUGAUUUCUUCAAUCCCACUUUUACCAAUUUUUGCAUCAAGAUCUAAAAACUCUGAAUUUUUGGAACGCCUUCUAGGUAGAGGUGGAUCAUAUUCAGUCCCAUCAUUAUCAAGAUUCAUAUUGCAAAACAAAGAUUGAAUAGGGGACACAUCAAUAACUUUUAGAUCUUCAUCUUUAUUUUCAUAGAAACUAGAAGAACACGCUUUCACAAAACAAUCUUUCUUAGCACGCAUCCUAGCGGUUCUUUCUUUGCACUCAUCAAUGGAAAUUCUCAUGGCCUUGAGAGACUCAUUGAUAUCAUGCUUAGGAGAAAUUGUAUCAGCGUUCCUAGCCAAUUCAUCAACUUUAAGCAAUUUUUCUUGAAGCAAAGCGUUGAAAUUGUUUUGCGAAUUCAUAAAUUCUUUAACACUAGUCUCAAAUUCAGAAGGCAUCUUAUUAAAAUUUACAUAAUAAUUGUUGUAGGAAUUACCAUAAUUAUUAGAGGAAUUACUAGGAUACGACCUUGGAUUAAAGUUUCCUCUAUACGCGUUGUUACCAAAAUUAUUCCGACCAACAAAAUUCACAUCCAUAGAUUCAUUAUUAUUCUCAAUCAAAGUAGACAAAGGCAUAUCAUUAGGAUCAGAAGAAACACUUUUAUUAGCAAAUAAUUUCAUAAGUUCAUCCAUCUUACACUCAAAACAUUAAUUUCUUCUAUCGCAUGCACUUUUUUAUUAGUGGAUUUUUCGGUGUGCCAUUGAGAAUAAUUAACCAUAAUAUUAUCUAGGAGUUUAGUAGCUUCUCCUAAAGUGAUUUCCAUAAAAGUGCCUCCCGCGGCCGAAUCUAAAAGAUUUCUAGAAGAAAAAUUCAAUCCGGCAUAAAAAUUUUGUAUAAUCAUCCACAAAUUCAAACCAUGAGUAGGGCAAUUACGUAUCAUUAAUUUCAUCCUCUCGCAAGCUUGUGCAACAUGUUCAUGAUCAAGUUGCUUAAAAUUCAUAAUAUCGUUUCUGAGAGAGAUGAUCUUAGUGGGAGGAAAAUACUUAGAGAUAAAAGCAUCUUUGCACUUAUUUCAAGAAUCACUACUAUUUUUAGGCAAAGACGAAAACCAAGCUUUAGCACGAUCUCUAAGCGAAAAAGGAAAUAGUUUCAAUUUAACAAUAUCAUUGUCCACAUCUUUCUUCUUUUGCAUAUCACACAAAUCAACGAAGUUGCCAUGUCUAGGAAUGCUUGAAGCUUCAAAGAUUUCCUAUAAUACAACAUGCCUCUAACUAUUCACAAUAAGAAAAACAUGUAAAUGCGGAAUCAACCAAAUGAUGGUAAAUUGUAGUUGAUUUUGGCCAAGCAAACGUCAGAUGAAAGAAACAUACAUGAGUGAACAUCACUAUUGGAUGUUUUAUUCAAAUUUAAUAGGUUAAACUCACCAAAUCCAUCUGGAUAUUUAGUAUUAAACUUCAACAGAUGGUCAGUUGUAGCUAGAUUCACACCACUGAAGCAAAAUUCCAUCUGCCACGGUUACAUCACACCAUCUUUUCAUCGUUACUAUUUAAAUUCCAAAUGCCUGCAACUCAUUUUUUUUGUUACGAUGUAUGCAUGAUUUUUAACUCAAGAGGAAGAGGGGAAACUAAAUCCAAGAAAAGAACACCAAGGAAGCAUCCAAAAUAGAGAAAGGAAAAAAAUCCAAAAUAGAGGCAGAAUCGAAGGGAAGAAACCCCAUAAAAAAUAGGAGAUCAAACGGUGAAAAAAAUCUAAGAGUCAAACAAUUCUAGGUAAGACCAAAUCGACGGCAAAAUAGCACAAGAGGGACUCACAUUAACAGGUAUACCAGGUAUACCAAUUUAGAAAGAAGUGUAAAGCGAACAGUGCAAUGGACCACUAGUAUAAAUUGGAUGUACACAAACAUGGGACUUAAACAAGAACUGCGAGAUGCAGGGUUCACGUGCAAACCCAAAAAAUGGAAAACUGAAACCCACAACAAGAUUUUAUCUUCAUAUAUAUAUAUAUAUAUAUAUAUAUAUAUAUAUAUAUAUAUAUAUAUAUAUAUAUAUAUAUAUAUAUUCAAGGCUCGCCCUAUCUAUUAGUUGCUUCUUCCGAAUCCCCACCUAUCAAGCGUUUUCUCUGAAUAAACAAACACAAUAGUAUUCUUUGAAUUAUACUGUACAACGGUAAUUAACCAAGCGACUGGAAUUAACAAUAUUAUGAGCUAUUGGCUUUUUAGUCAGGUAAAUAUCAUUCUUAAGACUACGGAAAACAACAGGCGGCGAAGAAAACAUCUAUUUAUGAGAACUAUACACAUACUUAAGAAGGAAGUGACAUCUAUGGUAGCAGAACAUAUAUCAAGCUGUUGCAGCUACAUUAGCAGUUUAGCACAGUUCCUCCAUAAUACACAGGCUAGUGUAAUUUCACAAAUACAAUAAGCUAACAAUAUAUAUUUGGUAGAUGGAAAUGGCUGGAUCAUGAGCAAUAUACCAUUACACAUCCGAUGAUGCAAAUAAAGAAACGAGGCCCAACAAUAGUGGAAAAUAAACCACAAUAGAACAUGUAUUUGGCGAAACCUCCAUACUGCAAUAUCAAACAUGAAUUGAAAUUAACAAUCUAGCAAAAAAACAUGACAGAUGCAGUCUUGGUCAUUUUUCCUUUUGUGACAUCCCCUAAAAAAAGUAAAAACAAUGUUGUUCGUAUUUUACCAGAGAUACACUGAGCUGGGACAAAUCGGUCUGAAAUAAAAUAUGAUGGCUUCGGAGGAUUCGGAAGGCAAGAAAUUUGCUUUCUUCCAACAUAUAUGGUCUGCUGAACUAAACUUCGUUUCAACGGGCUUUGGCAAAAAUCUGUAACUGCAAACAUCAACUUGUGUGCCCUUCCUACGUCAAACUUUAAACUUGACGGAUUAAAUAUUUUAGGUUAGGCUGAGAUCAGUGUACUUUAUGAGUGUUAAGUGUACUUUCUAAAUAGCAGAGAAACCAUAACAUCUAAGCACAACCCAGCAACUUGUACAAGCUAACAUCAAAUCUGAAAGAGGAAAUGUCGAGAACAGGUGAAGGUACCAUGAUCCACGACUGAGCAAAGUUAUCUAUAAUCCUCGGUGAAUAUCAUAAAUUAGGAUCAACUACGCUAAAGAACAAACGGGAAAGGAACCUAGAAAGAUCUUCUGCCGGUAGAAUAUAACUGAUACACUAUCCUCGUUCUCGAGAUCAAGGUCGUUUCUUGAAUUGCAGUUUCCUCACUGUAGUAUGGGGUCAUUACACUGUGAAGAACAAAGUGUCAUAUGAAUCAUUUAGAGCCCAAUCUUUUUCACUGAAACUCUUAUGAUCACAUAACGAAUUUAAACAUAAGGUUUAUUAGAUAUUUGUUGUUGUGAACAGAUAAUAUAUUUCUGGUGUUGACAAUGUUUUGAUUAUGGAUGCACUUCAAGAUGGGUGGCACAGAUUCUGUUGUACAGGCCUCCACCUGGAAUUUCAUCACUUGUUAUUUUUGUUUUAGAAUGUCUAGGUGCAUUUUUCCUUUAAGGUGGAAACAGAUGUACUUGUAUAAGCAACAAGAAUACAAAGCGCCACUGCCAUACAUUGUGGAAGUUCAGUGCUUCUGUUUACAAAAUCUGCUUCCCAAAACAGAAGGAUUUAUAAUUUUUUAUUACAAUCAAGCGGACAUGAGCUGAUGAGUACAGAUGUAGACAUGUACUGAGAGCAGCACCCUUUCAAAAGUGGAUCAUUUACAAGUUGGAUAGUUUGAUGGUCUGAAAUUAGUGGUCGUGUUUCAGAAUUGUUAUCGAAUAGUAGGGGAUAUAUAUUAAAUUCUGAAAUUAGUGGUUGUUUGUCAGAACUGUUAUCGAAUAACAGAGCACAUAUAUUAACUUCAAUAAGUGGAGUAAUAUCUUUGGAUUCGCUGUGAGGAAAGAUUACCAAAACAAAACAGAAGUGAGCACUGGUAGAAAAUGGGCCUUUAGUCCCGGUUCGCAAAGGCCAUUAAUCCCGGCUGUGCAACCGGGACUAAANNNNNNNNNNNNNNNNNNNNNNNNNNNNNNNNNNNNNNNNNNNNNNNNNNNNNNNNNNNNNNNNNNNNNNNNNNNNNNNNNNNNNNNNNNNNNNNNNNNNNNNNNNNNNNNNNNNNNNNNNNNNNNNNNNNNNNNNNNNNNNNNNNNNNNNNNNNNNNNNNNNNNNNNNNNNNNNNNNNNNNNNNNNNNNNNNNNNNNNNNNNNNNNNNNNNNNNNNNNNNNNNNNNNNNNNNNNNNNNNNNNNNNNNNNNNNNNNNNNNNNNNNNNNNNNNNNNNNNNNNNNNNNNNNNNNNNNNNNNNNNNNNNNNNNNNNNNNNNNNNNNNNNNNNNNNNNNNNNNNNNNNNNNNNNNNNNNNNNNNNNNNNNNNNNNNNNNNNNNNNNNNNNNNNNNNNNNNNNNNNNNNNNNNNNNNNNNNNNNNNNNNNNNNNNNNNNNNNNNNNNNNNNNNNNNNNNNNNNNNNNNNNNNNNNNNNNNNNNNNNNNNNNNNNNNNNNNNNNNNNNNNNNNNNNNNNNNNNNNNNNNNNNNNNNNNNNNNNNNNNNNNNNNNNNNNNNNNNNNNNNNNNNNNNNNNNNNNNNNNNNNNNNNNNNNNNNNNNNNNNNNNNNNNNNNNNNNNNNNNNNNNNNNNNNNNNNNNNNNNNNNNNNNNNNNNNNNNNNNNNNNNNNNNNNNNNNNNNNNNNNNNNNNNNNNNNNNNNNNNNNNNNNNNNNNNNNNNNNNNNNNNNNNNNNNNNNNNNNNNNNNNNNNNNNNNNNNNNNNNNNNNNNNNNNNNNNNNNNNNNNNNNNNNNNNNNNNNNNNNNNNNNNNNNNNNNNNNNNNNNNNNNNNNNNNNNNNNNNNNNNNNNNNNNNNNNNNNNNNNNNNNNNNNNNNNNNNNNNNNNNNNNNNNNNNNNNNNNNNNNNNNNNNNNNNNNNNNNNNNNNNNNNNNNNNNNNNNNNNNNNNNNNNNNNNNNNNNNNNNNNNNNNNNNNNNNNNNNNNNNNNNNNNNNNNNNNNNNNNNNNNNNNNNNNNNNNNNNNNNNNNNNNNNNNNNNNNNNNNNNNNNNNNNNNNNNNNNNNNNNNNNNNNNNNNNNNNNNNNNNNNNNNNNNNNNNNNNNNNNNNNNNNNNNNNNNNNNNNNNNNNNNNNNNNNNNNNNNNNNNNNNNNNNNNNNNNNNNNNNNNNNNNNNNNNNNNNNNNNNNNNNNNNNNNNNNNNNNNNNNNNNNNNNNNNNNNNNNNNNNNNNNNNNNNNNNNNNNNNNNNNNNNNNNNNNNNNNNNNNNNNNNNNNNNNNNNNNNNNNNNNNNNNNNNNNNNNNNNNNNNNNNNNNNNNNNNNNNNNNNNNNNNNNNNNNNNNNNNNNNNNNNNNNNNNAUAUAGAGCUCAAAUGAUUGAAAAUAAUUACUUUUGCAGCAUUUUUCUCAUGUCGGCCCAACGCUUUGGAUCCGAAUCCAUAGAGUCCAUGAUUAGAACUCUGGAGGUGUGAAGUUCAAUAUUUAGCAGAAUCCAGUGGAACCUGCGGACACGUUACAUGCACAGUCAUGCAUAACUCAUCGAUUAGACAUACCAUGCAUGGAGUAAACAAAAGAGAAUGGGCACAAGAGAGAAACACUCACCCAAAAUGGUAAGGAAAUAGAAUAUGACUUUUGAGUUGAUGCUUUCUAAGAAACUUGUACAAGUCUUUCUCCAUGUCUUCGGGGUGAUUUUGUAACACAUGUCCAUUAACGAUAUGUGGGUCAAUGAACCCAACAUCAUGGAUGUUUCUUAUUUUGCAUUCCCAAAUCUUCAAUCUGCAUAAUAGCGUACGCAACAAUAUAGUUAGGACAAUAUAUAUAUAUAUAUAUAGUGCAGGCAAUGAAGAACGAGAUGAGGUAGAAAUAAAUCACUUACAUAACGUAGCAACUCAGGAUAGAUUUGUCGAGCUCGCGCAGAUUGAACAGCUGGAACAAUUCACUCAUAUGAACUUGUACAAAGUACCGUUUGGUGUGAUGCUCCUCUGUAACAUCCGCAUAAAUAUAUUCUUUGUCGGCCCAUGUUAUGAAUUGCUUGUACCAACGUAGAAGAUUUCGCAUUUGUGGUGGUAGACUCUUUUCCCGUGCAGGCUCGACGAGAGGCCCAUUCCGCACAUAUUGUAAUGCUAUCUCACAUACUGGCGCAUCCUCAAGGCCUAAGAUGGCACGAAGAGUCAAACCCAUCUCGGACGUUUGUUUCAUGGCACUCGCUACAGUCAAUCCAAGUGCUGCCGCAGCUCCUAUGAUCUCGGGGUCCUCUUCCGGACCGGCUUUCACUAUGAGCGGGGGGAUCGAUUGUUUAUUCUGCAUCCCGAGCUGGUCAACUUGUUUCCCGCUUUUUUUACUUUCUUCUUUCUCCUCCUUCAAUAUUUUUGCUUGCCAACGAAGUUCAUGUCAAUAGUCGUCAGGCAUAUUCAGCUCGGCUUGGGACGGUGUCGUCAAAAAAUCCUUAGCCCACUUCUUUUGCUUCUCAGUGAAUACUUGCUUGGGCUCAGGCUCUUUUUUCGAAUUCGUAUCCGCCUUCCAUUUCUCAUAAUGAGCAGACGCGGCCAAUUUGGUUUCAGCUUCACUAAGUUCCCAAGGCCUUGGGAGGAGAGGCUUCAGUGAUGGCUCCGGUACCCUUGUGGUCUUACGUACAUAAGGGUCCGGGUUAAUAGUCCAGGAGAGGGUUUCCUUGCUGUCCGCCUGCUUCUACUUCUUCGCCGGAGGUGGAUUGGGGGGCGUCGUACCCGCCGGAGGAGGAUUGGGGGGCGUCGUACCUGCCGGAGGAGGAUUGGGGGGCGGCGGCUGCUUACCCGCCGGAGGUUGUGGAUCGGGGGACGGCGUCGAAUGGCGUGAAGGAGGUGUAGGUGAACCACCACGACCACCACCACCACCACCACCAUCGGAGGGGGUGGACUUGUUAGCAUUGGCGCCUCGCCUGGAAACACUAUGUACUUCUUUUUCCAUAGAAUGAUCUGGCGCUUGACAUCUCCAAGUCUUCUCUCCCCUUCGGGUGUAGCUUUGUCAAUCUCCAGGUCCUCAAACUAUUGGACUAUGUCUUCCACCGUGACACGAGCAUAGCCAUAUGCAAUGGGGUUGUUGUGGUGGAGUGCUCCAGGUGUACAGGGUAAAGCACUGCCAGUAGCUACCUUCGUGGAAACGUUCCCCACGGGAUAAUGCAGAUCACAUUCUUUCAUCUCCUUUACAUCAUCCACGGGGUAGUGAGGCUCCGGUGCACGAAUCUCGAUCAUCGGUGCAUUAGCACCAGGCGGGGCAUCCGUGGAAGCCACGCUGCUUCUCCGCUGCUGGCUUCCGCGAUCCGCUUCAUGAUCUUCAUGCGGCCCUGCAGCCGAUUUUUCUUUUACUAGUUCAUGCACGGUCUGCUUCAACUCAUGGAGUUCCGAUGCAAACUUCACCAAAAGAUCUGCAUCCCGGUCCGUCUUUCUCUUACGGCUUCUGUAACAGUACGGGUCAUUGUCCUGGGAAAACCCUACUUUCCACGAAAUUCUGCCUUUGCCUCGUACACGUCCUCCGUGUUCAUCAUUCCGAGGGCUGUUGUCAGUGCGUCUUUCUCUCUGUUGAACUUGAUCAAGCCCUCUUGAGCUUGGGUCAUUGCGUCAAUAAGGGCUUGGGUGGGAGCAAACUUUUUCUUCCGGUGAACACACACCCCUGUCUCCGGGUCUAGCGAUCCCCCAUGCCCGUACCACCAGCUUUUGGCCCUUGGGUCCCAUCCCUCUGUACCUAGAGGGAUUCCUCGCACCCUCAGGUCCUCCUCCAUCUUCUGCCACUUAGGCUCCGAAAGGCGGUAUCCUCCUGGCCCCAUAAUAUGAUGGAACUUUUUCUUACUCGCAUUAUCCUUAUUUUUUCCGACAUUUCCUUGAAAUGCUCUGAUUUUUUUUGCCUCACAAAUUCUGGCCAAUCAUCUUUCAGUUUCUCAUGUUGUCCAUUGAAAUCCGGAGUCUUGCCCUUGUUGACAUAGUCACGGGUUAAAUUUUUCUUGAAGUUCCGGAAUGCUUCGCCCAUCUUCUCAAGAGCGAACUCUUUAACUAGCCUCCUCCUCUCACGUCCACCCGGAACCUCGUUACCGAAUUCAUCGACUUUGUUGUAUUCCGGAGGUAGAAUGAAAUGUUCCAUAAGCUUUUUCCAGCAAUCCUUUUUCGUUCUCUUGUCGACAAAACUGAAACCAAGACGUGCCUUCUUUGGCUCCUUCCAUUCCUGGACGGUGAUCGGGACGUUGUCUCUAACAACGACUCCACAUUGGUUGAUAAACUUUGAGGUGUGCUGUAGGGGCUUGCCGGUUUCACUGACAAAAUCAAUGGCAUAUGUUUCUCCUUUUUUCAUCGCCUUGGAUUUGCCACGCUUUGUCGUACUCGAUCCGGCCGAGGGUCGCGCACGUUAAUACAUAUGUAUUCGCAUUUCAGUAAGUUUGUAUCACGAGAGGCUCAAUGUAUAUAUAUACCUCGCCGGAGGUGGUUGCUACUUGCAAUUCGAGAUUGUCGUUUGUUGACGGUUGACCUCCGUUGACAAUGUCCGUUCCUUCACCUUCUUGAUCAUCGACAAUGUCUGUUCCACCGUCAAGGUUCAGAAAAGAAGAGACUACAUCCUCUUCUUGCUCAUAUUCUGAGCCCGGCACAUAAGGAAUCUCGUUGUUUAUGAUGCCCAUUAAAUAACGUUCAGCCUCCGGAUCCCUAAGCGGCUCGGCUCUAUCGUCCGCCAUAUGUCACUCCUGCAUGUAGUCAAAAUUAAUUAAGUAUAAAGGAAUUAAAAAAUAAGAUUAAGGGGACAUAGAGGAGGAGCAGCUACGGUUGAAUGAUUAAGAGCUAUUAAAAAAUAAAAUUGAUGUUUUUCCUUUUCUUUUUCCUUUUCUUUUUCCUCUCUACUCUCUCUUUCCUUUUCUUUUUCCUUUUCUUUUCCUUUUCUUUUUCCUUUAUACAAUUAUUCCCAAAUAAAUUUCCUUUUCUUUUUCCUUUUCUUUUUCCUCUCUGCUCUCUCUUUCCUUUUCUUUUUCCUUUUCUUUUUCCUUUAUACAAUUAUUCCCAAAUAAAUUUCCUUUUCUUUUUCCUUUUCUUUUUCCUCUCUGCUCUCUCUUUCCUUUUCUUUUUCCUUUUCUUUUUCCUUUUCUUUUUCCUCUCUACUCUCUCUUUCCGUUUGUUGACGGCAGGCGGCGGCGGGAGGCAGAGGAGGGCAGGCCNNNNNNNNNNNNNNNNNNNNNNNNNNNNNNNNNNNNNNNNNNNNNNNNNNNNNNNNNNNNNNNNNNNNNNNNNNNNNNNNNNNNNNNNNNNNNNNNNNNNNNNNNNNNNNNNNNNNNNNNNNNNNNNNNNNNNNNNNNNNNNNNNNNNNNNNNNNNNNNNNNNNNNNNNNNNNNNNNNNNNNNNNNNNNNNNNNNNNNNNNNNNNNNNNNNNNNNNNNNNNNNNNNNNNNNNNNNNNNNNNNNNNNNNNNNNNNNNNNNNNNNNNNNNNNNNNNNNNNNNNNNNNNNNNNNNNNNNNNNNNNNNNNNNNNNNNNNNNNNNNNNNNNNNNNNNNNNNNNNNNNNNNNNNNNNNNNNNNNNNGCAGGGCAGGGCAGGGGCGGCGGCGGCAGUGCAGGGCAAGGGCGGCGGCGUAGGGCAGGGGAAGUGGGGGGCGGCGGAGCUCACUGGGGGCAGGGCGCUGGUGUCGGGGCAGGGCGUCGGCGUCGAUCGGCGUCGGGGCAGCAGCCUGGCGGCGUCGGCGUCGAUCGGCGUCGGGGCAGGGCGUCGGCGUCGAGAGGAGAAUGAGAGGUGGGGGAAAAUUUACUAAGUGUUAUAUAUAUAGACAGAGCAUUAGUCCCGGUUGGGGACGCCAACCGCGACUAAAGGUACCUUUAGUCGCGGUUGGUCUCCCCAACCGGGACUAAAGGUUCUUUCGCGCCGCUUUCGUUCCCGCGCGGAAAGAGCCUUUAGUCGCGGUUCGUGUCACGAACCGCGACUAAAGGUCCUUUUUCAUAUACUUUUCAGAAAAUACAAAUAAUAUAUCAAAAAAUUCAGAAAAAUAAAACUAAUUCAUUUUAAAAUCUUAAAAAUAGAAAUAAUAUAUCAAAAAAUUCAGAAAAAUAAAANNNNNNNNNNNNNNNNNNNNNNNNNNNNNNNNNNNNNNNNNNNNNNNNNNNNNNNNNNNNNNNNNNNNNNNNNNNNNNNNNNNNNNNNNNNNNNNNNNNNNNNNNNNNNNNNNNNNNNNNNNNNNNNNNNNNNNNNNNNNNNNNNNNNNNNNNNNNNNNNNNNNNNNNNNNNNNNNNNNNNNNNNNNNNNNNNNNNNNNNNNNNNNNNUUAAAAUCUUAAAAAUAGAAAUAAUAUAUCAAAAAAUUCAAAAAAAUAAAACUAAUUCAUUUGAAAAUCUUAAAAAUACAUAUAAUAUAUCAAAAAAUUCUGAAAAAUAAAACUAAUUCAUUUUAAAAAUUCAGACCGAUUGUUUUGUUCUACAUCCUCGAUCCCUUGAAGGUUUGACAAAAGGUUUGAUACAUCAUUCAGUUCAUCGGCCAAAUACAAAUCAUCCGGAUUCGCCAUCGUACGUUUUAAUUCACAUGAUCCAUUCAACAAAGUUUGGUACAAUAAAUUAUUACACAUCAAUUCUUCCCGUGUGUCCCUGCUUGCUUACGAUUGUGCCGUAUCCAUGGAGCAUCCUCAUCAUUUAACUUAAUGCUUGGGUCAGUGUUCACUUUGAAGGGCGGAAUUUCACCAAACAUAUUAUAAUCUUCUGACAUGUCUGUCUUGUCCUCCACUCCCACAAUGUUUCUUUUCCCUGAAAGAACAAUGUGGCGCUUUGGAUCAUCGCAUGAUGUACUGAUCGUUUUCUUAUCUUUCCGUUUCCUCGGUUUGCUACUCAUGUCCUUCAAAUAAAAAACCUGAGCGACAUCUUUGGCAAGGACGAAUGGUUCGUCAAGGUAACCAAGAUUGUUGAAAUCCACCAUUGUCAUUCCGUAUUGCUCGUCCACCUUUACCCCACCUCCUGUUAGCUUGAACCAUUUGCACCGGAACAAAGGGACCUUAAAGGAGGGUCCAUAGUCAAGUUCCCAUAUCUCCUCUAUGUGACCAUAAUAUGUGACCUUUUGCCCAUUCUCGGUUGCUGCAUCAAAGCGGACACCACUGUUUUGGUUGGUGCUCUUUUUAUCUUGGGCGAUGGUGUAAAAUGUAUUCCCAUUUAUCUCGUACCCUUGGAAAGUCGUUAUAGUCGAAGAUGGUGUCUUGGCCAACAUGUACAGCUGAUCUCCAACAUCAUUGUCAUUCAUUAAAUGUUUUCGCAACCAACUGCCGAAAGUCUCCAUGUGGGCCUUUCUAAUCCAGGAUUCAGGUUUCCCCGGGUUGUCCGAGCGUAAAAUAUUCUUGUGUUGCUCGAACUACGGAGCCACCAAGCUGGAAUUUUGUAGAACUGUGUGGUGUGCUUCAGUCAUAGAAUGACCGUCCAUACAUAUCGUUGAUUUCCUUCCGAUCGUGCCUUUUCCACUUAGUCUCCCCUCGUGCCGCGAUUGAGGAAUACCAAUCGGCUUAAGGUCAGGAACAUAGUCAAUACAGAACUCAAUUACCUCCUCAUUUCCAUAGCCCUUGACGAUGCUUCCUUCUGGCCUAGCACGGUUACGAACAUAUUUCUUUAAUACUCCCGUGAACCUCUCAAAGGGGAACAUAUUGUGUAGAAAUACAGGACCGAGAAUGGAAAUCUCUUCGACUAGGUGGAGCAGGAGGUGCGUCAUAAUAUCGAAGAAGGAUGGUGGGAACACCAACUCAAAACUGACAAGGCAUUGGACCACAUCGUUCUGUAACCGUGGUAGAUCUUCUGGAUUGAUUACCUUCUGAGAGAUUGCAUUGAGGAAUGCACAUAGCUUCACAAUGGCUACUCGAACAUUUUCCGGUAAGAGCCCCCUCAAAGCAAUCGGAAGAAAUUGCGUCAUAAUCACGUGGCAGUCGUGAGACUUCAGGUUUAGGAACUUUUUGUCCGCCAUGUUUAUUAUUCCCUUUAUAUUCGACGAGAAGCCAGACGGGACCUUCAUACUGCUCAGGCAUUCAAAAAAUGACCUUCUCUUCUUUGGUAAGAGCGUAGCUGGCACGACCUUGAAACCAUUCCGGAUGCCGGUCAUCUGGGUCUUUCAAAAGUUGUUGGUCCUGCCGUGCUUCCUUUGUAUCAUUUGUCUUCCCAUACACGCCCAAGAAGCUUAGCAGGUUCACGCAAAUAUUCUUCGUAACAUGCAUCACGUCGAUUGCAGAGCGGACAUCUAGGACUUUCCAAUAUUCUAGCUCCCAAAAUAUAGAUUUCUUCUUCCACAUGGGUGCGUGCCCGUCAACUCCCCGCGGAACUGAUUGUCCGCCAGGACCCUUUCCAAAGAUGACUUUCAAAUCCUUGACCAUAUCAAAUAUCUCAGCACCAGUACGUUCCGCAGGCUUCGGCCGGUGAUCUGCCUUGCCGUUGAAAUGCUUGCCUUUCUUUCUUACGUUAUGAUUUCGGGGAAGAAAUCGACGAUGACCCAGGUACACGUUCUUCUUACAAUUACCCAAACGUACACUUUCAGUCUCAUGUAAGCAGUGCGUGCAUGCAUUGUAUCCCUUAUUUGUCUGUCCCGAAAGGUUACUGAGAGCAGGCCAAUCGUUGAUGGUUACAAAAAGCAACGCUCGUAGGUCAAAUUCCUCUUCUUUGUGCUCAUCCCAGACACGUACACCAGCUCUGCCCCACAACUGUAAAAGUUCAUCAACUAAUGGCCUUAGGUACACAUCGAUGUCGUACCCGGGUUGCUUUGGACCUUGGAUGAGCACUGGCAUCAUAAUGAACUUCCGCUUCAUGCACAACCAAGGAGGAAGGUUGUAGAUGCAUAGAGUCACGGGCCAGGUGCUAUGGCUGGAGCUCUGCUCGCCAAAAGGAUUCAUGCCAUCAGUACUUAGACCAAAUCUUAUGUUCCUUGCGUCAGCUGCAAAAUCUUUGAACACUCUGUCGAUCUUUCUCCAUUGCGUUCCAUCAGCGGUGUGUCCCAACUCCCCGUCGGACUUACGGUCCUCUUUGUGCCAUCGCAACGACUUGGCAUGCUUUUUGUUCCUGAACAGACGUUUCAACCGUGGUAUUAUAGGAGCAUACCACAUCACCUUGGCGGGAACCCUCUUCCUGGGUUUCUCGCCCUCAACAUCGUCACCAGGGUCAUCGCCUCUGAUCUUAUAACGCAAUGCAGUGCAUACAGGGCAUUCAUUCAAAUUCUCGUAUUCACCGCGGUAGAGGAUGCAGUCGUUAAUGCAUGCAUGUAUCUUCAGAACCUCUAAACCUAGAGGGCAGACAACCUUCUUUGCUUCGUACGUACUGGCGGGCAACUCGUUAUUCUUCGGAAACAUAUUCUUCAACAUUUUCAGCAAAUUUUCAAAUGAUGAGUCAGCUACACCUUCCUGUGCCUUCCAUUUUAGCAAAUCCAGUGUGCAACCCAACUUUUUCAGACUAUUAUCGCAUCCUGGGUACAACGACUUUUUGUGAUCCUCUAACAUGCGAUCCAAAUUCUCCCUCUCCUUGUCAGUUUCGCAGCGUCUCCGUGCAUCAGCAAUGGUCCGACCAAGAUCAUCAGCGGGCUCAUCAUGUGCCUCUUCUUCACCUUCACCUAACCCUUCCCCACCUUCAGCAUCAUCCUCCAUGAAAGUAUCACCGAAAUGAUCAUGAUAGUUGUCAUCGAUAUCAUCCCCUUCUUCAUCUUGUUCCAUUCUAACCCCUCUUUCUCCAUGCUUGGUCCAACAAUUAUAGCUUCGCAUGAAACCGUGCCGAAGCAGGUGCAUGUGAACGUCUCUUGAGGAGGAGUAACCCUUCUGAUUCUUACAGACACCACAUGGACAGAUAAUAAAACCUCGCUGCUUGUUCGCAUUUGCCACUACGAGGAAAUCUUUCAAACCCGUAGUGAACCGCCGGAGAGUCGGGGACCGUACAUCCAUUGCCGAUUCAUCUGCAUUAUUAUUAUAUAAAGUAUAUAAUUAACCAUCAUGCAUUUGUUAAACUAACUAGCUAGAAAUAAUACAAAUUAAACAAUGAACUACACACAUCCAUAUUUUAUCAAUGACACAUGAAAGGUUCAAGUUGCUAACCGCGAUCGCGGAGGAAAAAUAAAUGAGAAAGCUCAAGUGUGGCUCGGACACUUCAUAUCAUGUUUGUUUCAUGCUCUCGGGCAUUUCAUCGAACACCUUGUGUGCAUAGGAGGAACCAAAAGCAAACCCACCAGCCCCCUUCUGAAUUGUGGCUAAGUGAAGUGAGCUGAGUCCUAUAUAUAGGGAUGGGCCUUUAGUCCCGGCUGGCCUGGCCAACCGCAACUAAAGGCCUUCGGGCCAGCCUGAGGACCUUUAGUCCCGGUUGGCCAGGCCAACCGGGACUAAAGCCCCUCCCGUCCGCCAGCUGUCGACCGAGCGCGCUGGGCCCAGAUAGUUGGUCGCGGGUCUCCUCCCGAACCGCGACUAAAGACCCCUUUGGUCGCGGUUCGAUUAUUUUAGAGACUAAUGGGGGCGUAUGGAAGCCUCUGUUUCUACUAGUGGAGUGCGACGACCCAGAUGAGGGCGCUCUUGAGCUUCUUCCCGACCGACCUAGAUGCAGGAGCAGACCACGGCGGAUCUAAUCAGCCAACGAAUAAAACUGAGGCAGGUAGAGGAAGUAAGGGAGGAAGAAGACUGACUUGUCCUGGUCGCCCUCGUAGUAGAACCUGUGUUUUGAUUUUCGGCCAAAAAAGUGGAUUUCGGCCAUCUCGGCCUGGGGCAAAAAGUGUAUUUAGGCCGAAAUUGUUCAAAUUUAGCAAAUUUUGGUCAAAUUUAAGUCAAAUUGCAGUCAAAAUUUGGUCAAAUUUCAGCCGAAAUUUUUGAAAAUGGCCGAAAUUCGGCCAUCUCAGCCUAGGGAGAAAAAAAAGCUGAAACCAAAAAUCAAAACACAGAGUAGAACAUGGCGAACAGGAUGACGAGGACAGCGUCGAGGAUGUAGACGACGAGCCAGAGCAUGUUCAUGGGCAGGAUCAAGCAUGGGCAGGAUAAGGGUGCAGGCCCCGUUGUAGGCGGCAUGCUUGCAGGCCUGGCGGUUGGCGACGUCGGCGGGGAGCAUGAGGAUGGAGAGGACGGCGACGGUGAUGCCGAGCACGACGACGAGCUUGAGGAAGUAGGCCUGGUUGGCAUCAUCCGGGUGCUGGUAGUUGACGAGGAGCACCAGGAUGCUGACCACCGCCGCCACGAUCACUAGCGCCACGUUAAAAAAACCAUCUCCUCGGGGCUCCGGUCCCGGUUCCGGCCCGCCGCCUCGCCCCCUUGGUCGGUCAGAUCUCUCUGUCCCUAGAGGCGGGGGGAUACAGGCUAGGGUUUGGGCGUGGGCGGGGAAUAGGCUGCUAUGGUGCCGGCAGCGGGGCGUGUAGGAGAGAAGGAUUAGGAGGAAUAAUUCACCACACUUUGAUUAAGCUCUCGGCUGGUUCUUAUGUACAGAUUACAGGGCCAGCCAGGGAGAUCAUGGGGUGAUCCACUACCUGGGAUCGUGCGCCACGAUCACUACAUGCGUGCGCCACGAUCAUACACACACACGCUACACCUAGUGUCUACGCAACUACGGUAUAGCAGUACAGUACAGCCUAACACCCCCCGGAGUCGUGACGUCGGCGGCGGCGACGCAAAGACUGGACCGGAACUCAGAGAAAACAUCCGAUGGCAGGCCUUUGGUCAUGAUGUCGGUGUGUUGUUGGCGCGUGGGGAUGUGAAGAACACGGAAGUGGCCGAGGGCGACGCGCUCCCGCACGAAAUGGAUGUCCAGCUCCACAUGCUUAGUGCAGCGAUGAUGCACCGGAUUGGCUGACAGGUAGACUGCGGACACAUUGUCACAGUACACAAGUGCCGCCUUGGUCAUUGGAGCGGAGAGCUCGCCGAGAAGCUGGCGGAGCCAGAUGCAUUCAGCGACCGCGUUGGCGACGCCGCGGUAUUCAGCUUCGGCGCUGGAGCGCGAUACGGUCGCCUGGCGCUUGGAGGACCAGGAGACGAGAGCAUCGCCGAGGAAGACGCAGAAGCCCGACGUGGAGCGUCGGGUGUCGGGGCAGCCGGCCCAGUCCGCAUCGGUGAACGCACGGACGUCGAGCAUGGUCGAGGCGUGAAGAUGAAGCCCGAGUGCGCAGGUGCCCUUCACGUACCGGAGCACGCGCUUUACGAGCGCGAGGUGGCAUUCGCGCGGGUCAUGCAUGUGUAAGCAGAUUUGCUGGACGGCGUAGGCGAUCUCUGGACGCGUGAUGGUGAGGUACUGCAGGGCCCCGGCGAUGCUCCGAUAGGCCGAAGGGUCGUCGACGCAUGGCCCAUCGGCUGAGGGGAGUUUGCUCUUCGUGUCGAUGGGUGUCGGGGAAGGGCGGCAGGUGUCCAUGCCGGCGCGUUCCAGGAGCUCGUCGGCAUAUUGUUGUUGCGACAGGAAGAAGCCAGCUCGGGUGCGGGUGACGCGCAUGCCGAGGAAGAAGGCGAGCGAGCGCAGGUCCUUCAUGGCGAAUUCGCCUGUGAGGCGCUGGAUGACAUGGUGAAGCACGCGUGACGAGGACGCGGUGAGCACGAUGUCGUCGACGUAGAGGAGGAGGAACGCCAUGUCGUUGCCGUGCCGGAAGGUGAACAGCAACGAGUCCGAACGCGUAGCUGCGAAGCCAAUGGAGCGGACGAAGCCGGCGAAGUGGAGGAACCAGGCACGGGGCGCCUGCUUGAGCCCGUACAAGGACUUGGAGAGGCGGCAGACGUGCUCUGGUUUGUCGGGGUCGAUGAAUCCGGCGGGCUGGAGGCAGUAGACUUCCUCCUCAAGUUUCCGUGGAGGAAGGCAUUGGAGACGUCGAGGUGGUGCACCGGCCAGCCGCGCGACGCGGCCAUAGUGAGCACCAUGUGGAUCGUCACUGGCUUGACGACGGGGGAGAACGUCUCGCCGUAGUCGACGCCGGCACGCUGAUGAAAGCCCCGCACGACCCAGCAUGCUUUGUAGCGGGCCAGCACGCCGUCGGCGUCGUUUUUGUGCUUGAAGAUCCGCUUCCCUGUGAUCAGGUUGGCGCCGGGGGGGAGCGGGGCACCAGCUCCCACGUGCGAUUGCGCACGAGCGCAUCGUACUCAGCACACAUGGCAGCGAGCCAGUUCGGGUCGCGAACAGCAGCACGAACCGAACGCGGCACCGGCGACACCGAUGAUGAGCUAGAGGCGGUGGCCGCGUCGUAGUAGCGCGGCUUGGGGCGGAAGAUGCCGCGCUGGGCACGCGUGACCAUGGGCACAGGAGGCGCCGGUGCGCGGGGCGCCGCUGGUGGCGCGCUCGGAGACGAGCUGUCGGAGGAGCCACUGGGGAGUUGUCGGAGGAGGCGCUGGCGGAGGCGAAGACAAGCGGACCAGGCGCGGAUGGGCACGUCGAGGACGGAGCCGAGCCGCCAUCGGAAGCGCCCGCAGCGUACCGCGAGCUGACGCGGCGCGCCCCGCUGGUUGGCGAUGAUGAGCGGGGCAAGCCGGUGAUGGAGAUCAGGCGCGCCGGCAGCACGGGUGACAUGCUGCUGUCAGGCACCGGUGGAAGCGCGGGCAGCGCAGGAGGCCGGACGACGAGCGGGAUCUGCAGGUUAGAGGGUACGACGGGUGGCGUAGGCGACGGGGAAGAGGAUGCGAACGGGAAAACGUGUUCGUGGAAGAGAACGUGGCGAGACGUGAGGACGCGGCGAGAGGUGAGGUCAAAGCAGCGAAAACCACGAUGAUCGGGAGGGUACCCGAGGAAGACGCAGGCGAUAGAACGUGGCUCGAGCUUAUGGCGGGUGGUGGCGGUGACGUUCGGAUAGCAGAGGCAUCCAAAGACGCGGAGCUGCGAGUAAUUUGUGCGGGCAUGCGGUGACGUUCGGAUAGAUGCGGAGUAAUUUGUGCGACGCCGAGCAGGAGUUCAUGCGGAGUGCAGGGCGCCGAGGCGCGGCAGGGCCGACGAUUGAGCAGGUAGGUCGAGGUGUUGAGAGCCUCUGCCCAGAAGCGAGCGGGCAUGUGCGCAUGACAGAGAAGCACACGAACACCGUCGUUGAUCGUGCGGAGAACUCGCUCGUCCUUGCCGUUCUGCCGUGGCGAGCAAGCAGAGAGCGCGCGGCUGCACUGUCGAAUUCACGACCGUUGCCCGUUUCCAGUGCAAGUAUGGGUAACUGAAACUGAGUCUGAACAUAGGCAAAGAAAUCAACAAGUAUGGGAAGAACUUCAGACUUGUGUUUCAGAGGGAAAGUCCAGACAUAGUGACUGAAAUCAUCUAGUACAACUAAGUAAAACUGAUAGCCGGAUAUGCUUACAACGGGAGCGGUCCAUACAUCAAGGUGUAAAAGCUGGAAAGGAAAGAAACUAGCAGUGGUGGAUGUCUGAAACGUGUUGGAUCGAUGUCCGUGUAGCCCGCUUCUUUCUCUGUAGGAAGGACGCGGUUACGCUCGCGUUGACAUCGGAUGACUCGAUCACAUGCACGGGAGGGGCGGUACGACAUGGCACCGCCACGCCACCGUGCUCCCUCCCAGUGCCGACCUGGAGCAACUUGCCACUCCUCAGCUCGUGACCGGUGGGCUUGACGGGCCACCUAGCCAUUUUUUAUGCCAGACAACUCUUCUUCCUGCUCAUCAGAUGUCAUGGAUAAAACUGUUUAAGGAGGAAAAUGAUGAGUGGACGUGUGAUGCGGUUCUUGCCCAACAUCUGACAUUGUUUAAAUAGCGAGGGGACACGAGAGGAGCCAACUGGCGUUCUGUUUAAUGCCAACCGGCUCGUGAACGAACAUGUGGCCGGAGUAAUUAUCCUGGCACACACGAGGGUUUAAUGGUGGAAGGCGGGCAGUCUGCAGGAAUGAGGCGAGGAUGUGUGCUUAGCCGGCGUGCAGUAGGCGGCGCCCUCGGCCGGCGUGCUGCUUCCAUUGCGGAGGCAGUGAGAGGUCGCGUCCGCUCUGCAGCGCAUGAAUGCGGGCAGCUGGCGCAGAGCGGGAACGCGUGCGGGCGAGGGAGGAGGGGGUUUGGGCGGGUGGUCAGAAGAGGUCGUGGGUGUUGUCCGAACGCCUGCAAAUCCCCCCUCCAUAUUUGUCUCCAGUUUGCGGGAGAAAGUACGUCCGGACCGUCUCCAAUGGACCAAUACAGGCCCGCAUUAGAUGGCACAACACGUCCGGACCAUGUGGUCCGGAUGGUUGUGGACAGUUUAAUUGAGGGUCGGCGUUGGAGAUGCCUUAGAGUUUAUGAAUCCAUUGUGUUUUUCUAAUCAUAAAAAAGCACUUACAAUAAGUUAUAAGGAAAGACACGUUUAUAUGUUAGGUUCAGACUCCAGGUUUCGUUUUACAUAUGCUUUAUUCAUCCGACUGAUUCCAAUAGAGUGAGCCUAGCGUUGUUUUUCUGGAAACUCGCGGGAUAAGGAGACAUGCAUACACAUUCUUUCAAGCAAAUCACAUCCAUUCUUUUUAACUCAUUUUUCUUCUUUUAAUAAUAUAAUAGAUCAUUUAUAUUUUUUAUCUGAAACAGUUGACGUGUAAUUUAUAUUGUAAUCUGAGGAUAAUGUUUGGAUUUUACUUUCAAAUAUAUUUGAAAUGGCCAUGAUGGAAUCACAUCCAUUUAUUUUAUUAUUAUUUGAAUUUGAUCCAAAAGAUAAAUAAUGAGUUGAGGUCAUGUCAACUUUUCUGAGAACUUUGCUAAUCAAAAUAUAAAUUGUAUUUAAAAAAUCUAUUUUUUAGCACGCAUGAAAAACAUAACACGUAUCUUUUCACACAUAAUGAACGGUUGUCAUAAGAACUCAUGCCAUGCCACAACCUCCCUCCGACCCUGCCAACAUUGUUGCAGCUGCACUCGCAAGCCUUAGCGUAGAUGAUAAUUUAUACAAUUUGCGUAAAACAAAAUAAGAUCUACAAAUUAAUAGAAGCUAGAACGUACAUUGGCAUGCACACACAUUGCAAGCUAUACUAAGCUGAUAAGUGUUAAUAACUUGUACAACAUAUACAACACUUAAGACAAGUAAAAGCAAUUUGAUGAGUCAUGGUCUAUCAAAGCCACAUUACUAGUCUAAUCCAUCUUAACAGGUCACACAUGAUUAAAAUCUUGUUUGUGUGCAAGUCAAGCUUAUCUAGUUUACAUGUAACAACUUGUAGAACAUUAAAAAAUUUAUGUUUGCUAAUAACUUCUAGAACACUACAACACUUGACAUGUAAAAGGAAUUUGAUGAGUCAUGGCCUACUAAAGCAAGUUAUAUUACUAGUCUUAUCUACCUUAACAGGCCACACAAGAUUACAAACCAAGUUCUGUGCCAGCCAUGCUUAUCUAGUUUAUGCGUAACAAUUUGCAGAAAAUUACAAACUUAGUUUCAGAAAAAUAGGCAAUCUAGAUUAGUGUUUGAGCUAUAAAGUGAAUAAAAUGAGUCAUCUGUGUUAUCACACCUUUUUGGUUGUGGAAUGAUAGUGCAACAACAAGGAACUUUAAUGACCAGUUCAAGAAUACACUUGUAAGUAGUGCCACCGAACACAACAUACCAAAUUAUGAUUUUGAGAAGCAUCCAAGCACUUCCACACAAGCAAAUGCCAAUUGUGAAAGAGAUCAUGCCAUGGCAGCUAUAAAUAGGCCCGUAGCAUGACGAUCAUCCUUCCUCAUCCAUCAUUCUCAAAAGUAGAGCGCAUCAUUUAAGCCAAGCAAGCAGUGCUCAAUACAAAUCCACCAUGAAGACCUUUCUCAUCCUUGCCCUCCUUGCUAUUGUAGCAACCACCGCCACAAUUGCAGUUAGAGUUCCAGUGCCACAAUUGCAGCCACAAAAUCCAUCUCAGCAACAACCACAAGAGCAAGUUCCAUUGGUACAACAACAGCAAUUUCCAGGGCAGCAACAACCAUUUCCACCACAACAACCAUAUCCGCAGCCG